AACUUGAAUCUAUUGCUUCGGCUAUCAAGGGUGAGAGAUACGAGUCUGACGCUGGGCUUGGUACUUGGAAAACUUCUGAAACUCCGCCUUUGUCAACCUGGAAGCGGACAUGAAGACAUACCUUUGUUAUGGCAAUAAUUCCUUCUAGCUAUGUGCCUGAUGGUGGAUUUCACUAUAUUGAGAGUUGAGUGAUAUGUAAUUGUUCCAAUAAAUUUUGACAUACUAUUGUCUCUAGGGCUAUGUCAAGUAAAGUUAUAAGAAGAAUGGAGUAUCUUCAGAGAGGUUGUAAUAAAUAAAGAUCUGGUCAUGUAAAAGCAGAAUAUAAUCUUCCUUGCAGUUGAAUGCAUUAAGAGUUAUAUAUUGUACUUUUGAAUGAUAAAGUGGUCCAUUUUUUAUGUGCUACUGCUACGAGAGUUAUAGAUUGUUGAACAGCAUUCAAUUCAGGACUUAUUAAACAUAAGCAUAUAAACAUUUUAUUCUCGGAAUAUUUACAUCAAAAGAAACUCCAAGGUCACAUCAUUGUAAAGUGUAAACUAUAUCAUAUUAAUAAAAAGCAAAAAAAAUGUCUAAAUGAGGAAAAAAAUGUACUAUAGAAGAAGUCAACAAUGUCAUGUAAUCAUUUUAUCCUAAAAUUGAGAUUCAAAUUUAGUUGAUUUGUAUUUUGAGUUUCCUCUUUGAUGGGAAAUGUAUCUCAGAACUUUAACUCCAACAGUUGAUGUUUCCUACUUGGAGUACUCAGUCCACCUUGAUGCAUUGAUCUUUCCCCUGAACUUGUGCCCGUCAAACAAUAUUUCUGAUCAUCUUGAAGUAAUUAGUACCAUCUGUUCAUUACUCCCUUCUGAUUUCUUGCAUUAUAGUUUCCUCUUUAAUAGGAAAUGUAUGUCAAGAUCUACCUUCUACAAUUGAGAUUUCUUAGAGUACUCAGUCCACCUUACUAGAUUGUUCUUUUCCCUGAACUUUGUUCACUUCAAACAAUACUAUGAUCAUCUUGAAGUUAUUCGUAUUGUUGUCUUUUGUAGACGACACAUGCUUUACUGCCCUUUGAAUUUCUGCAUUGCAGUUGCUUAAAUUUUGAAAUUCCUACAAUGUAGAAUAUGCCAAGGUUACAAGUAGAGAAUUUUAGAAUUUUAAUCCAAAUGGCAUUACAUUCCAUUCAUAAUGACCAAAAGGGGUUGUGAAUGUUGUUUUAUAUCUAUCUUUUGGUGUUAUUAAUAUUUGCCAAUAUCCUGAUUUUAGAUCAAACUUUGAAAAGAUUUUUGCUUUAAAUAAUCUAUUAAGCAAAUCUUUUUUAUUAGGAAUUGAAUAUCUGAUCCAUUGUAAAACUUUAUUUAAUGGUUUGUAAUUUAUUACUGAAAAAAGAAACCACCAAAGACCUUCAAACAGAAAUUAAUGAUCUUAAAAUACAAGUAAAACAACUACAGCGAGAAAUUAUAGAAUUAAAAACAAAAGAUUUAGAAAUAGAAGCAAAAAUAACAUUAAUAGAAAAUCAACCUUCAACUUCCAAUUCUAAAACAGAAGAAAUAAGUAUAUCAGAAAGACCAACAGAUGAAAUUCAAUAUUUAAAUACAAUAGAGAAAAUGAUAUUUCAAAAAUGGUAUGCUUUAGUAACUAUUACAGUAGAAGAUUUCAAAGAAACAUAUGUACCUUUAAUAGAUAGUGGAGCUAAUUCAAGUUGUAUUAAAGAAGGAAUAAUUCCUACUAAAUAUUGUGAAAGAACAAAAGAAACAUUAAUGGCAGCAAAUGGAGAAAAUUUACAAGUAAAAUAUAAAUUUACAAAAGGAUCAAUAUGUAACAAUGAAUAUUGUAUUAAACAUAAUUUUAUAAUUGUAAAAAAUAUAAAUCAUGAUAUAAUAUUAGGAACACCUUUUUUAAUUCAAAUUUACCCAUUUCAGUAAGUCAUGAAGGAAUUUCAAUAAAUAUAAUGGGAAAAACUGUUAUUUUUAAAUUUCUAACUCCAAUAAAACAAAGAGAAUUACAGACAUUACAAACAUCUUCUAUUUACAAAACAAUAAAUAGUAUUACUAGAGUACAACAACAAAUAAAUUAUAUUAAGGAAGAAAAAUCUUAUUUAAAAAUUGAAGAACAAUUAAAAGAAAGUAAAAUAUUAAAAAUAAUCUCAGAAUUAGAAGAACUAUUAGAAAAAGAAAUUUGUGCAGAUAUUUCUAAUGUUUUUUGGGAUAGAAAACAACAUAUGACAGAAUUACCUUACGAAACAGGUUUUAAUGAAAAAAAUAUUCCAACUAAAGCAAGACCAAUACAAAUGAAUUCUGAUUUAUUAGAAUUUUGUAAAAAGGAAAUAAAGACAUUAAUAGAUAAAGGAUUAAUAACACCUUCAAAAUCACCUUGGAGUUGUGCUGCAUUUUAUGUAAUGAAUCAAGCUGAAAAAGAAAGAGGAGUUCCAAGAUUAGUAAUAAAUUACAAACCAUUAAAUAAAGUUUUACAAUGGAUCAGAUAUCCAAUUCCUAAUAAAAAAGAUUUGCUUAAUAGAUUAUUUAAAGCAAAAAUCUUUUCAAAUUUUGAUCUAAAAUCAGGAUAUUGGCAAAUAUUAAUAACACCAAAAGAUAGAUAUAAAACAGCAUUCACAACACCUUUUGGUCAUUAUGAAUGGAAUGUAAUGCCAUUUGGAUUAAAAAAUGCACCAUCAGAAUUUCAAAAUAUAAUGAAUAAUAUUUUUAAUCCUUAUAGUUCAUUCAGUAUAGUUUAUAUAGAUGAUGUAUUAAUAUAUUCGGACUCAUUAGAACAACAUUUUAGACAUUUAAAUAUAUUUUUAAAAAUAGUUAAGAAAAAUGGAUUAGUCGUGUCAGCACCAAAAAUGAAACUAUUCCAAACUAAAAUAAGAUUUUUAGGACAUGAUAUAUAUCAAGGAACGAUAAAACCAAUUAAUAGAGCUUUAGAAUUUGCUACUAAAUUUCCAGAUGAAAUAAAAGACAAAAAUCAAUUACAAAGGUUUUUAGGAUGCUUAAAUUAUAUAGCAGAUUUUUUCCAUAAAUUAAGACAAGAAUGUUCUAUAUUAUUUAAUAGACUAAAGAAAAACCCAAAACCUUGGACAGAAGAACAUACUCAAAAAAUAAAAUAUUUAAAAGAAAAAAUUGACUCAUUACCAUGUUUAUGUUUACCACAUCCUAAAGCAUUCAUGAUAGUUGAAACAGAUGCAUCAGAAUUAGGAUACGGGGGUAUAUUAAAACAAAGAAUAGAAGAAUCAAAAGAAAAAUUAGUUAGAUAUCAUUCAGGAACAUGGUCUGACUCUCAAAAGAAUUAUUCAACCAUUAAAAAGGAAAUUUUAUCAAUAGUUUUAUGCAUAUCAAAAUUUCAAAAUGAUUUAUAUAACAAAAAAUUUUUAAUUAGAAUAGAUUGUAAAUCUGCAAAAGAAAUUUUACAAAAAGAUGUUCAAAAUAUAGUUUCAAAACAAAUAUUUGCUAGAUGGCAAGCUAUUUUAUUUGUUUUUUAUUUUGAAAUUGAAUUUAUAAAAGGAGAAAAUAAUUCAUUACCAGAUUUUCUUACUAGAGAAUUUUUACAAGGACAUGGAUCGUGAAAUGAUGGCCCAAAGAACUGAUCGAGAAUAUACCAAUUACCUAAGAACUCAAAGAGAUUCUCCUAAACUAUUAAACAAAGAAGCAGCUUUUCAAUUCAGAGGAUAUCAAUAUUUUAUUCAGACCAGUAAUGGAAGACAAAGUAUUCCAGCCUAUCAAAUUUCCAAACAUGAUACAGUGUAUAUUCAGAAAAGCCAUUUCGCAACCCUUACACCAAAGGAGAGAGCUUUUCUCAUUCAAAGAGAAAUUCAGAGAAACACUAUCAGAAUUCAAGUCCUAAGGAGAUCAGGAAGAAAUGAGGAAUUUCUUCAACAUUACAAAGAUCAAAAUAAAUAAUUAUCUAAUCAACUUAAAGAUGUUGUUUAUUGAUUUUGCAGGAACAUGGAUUCAAAAGCAGGAAAUUCUAAACCCAAGACUCCUCAAGAUUAUGAGAUGAGUCUUACUCCUGUAAAUCAAAAUAGAUUUCAAUUAUUGCAAGAUUUUCCAGCAUUGACUUAUAGUCAAGCUGCUCAUACUCCAACUUCUUCCCAAAUAAGACCUCUUCAACAAAUUCUAAAAACCUCAGAAAAAUCUAAUGAAAACUCUUAUUUCACAAAGCCAUCUACUCAACAUAUCACUUUAACCAGAUUUCAAGAAAUACCGUUAUAUUCUACACUCAAUCAGCUUAUUCAAAGAAUCUUUCCACAAAAAUAUUAUUGGCAACUUGAUGACCCUUCAAAAAAUUUGGAUUAUUAUGAAUUAAUUCUUACAGAUACUCAAUCUGUAGAAAUAUUCCCCAUUCCAGAUAGAAAAAAUCUAAUUAGUCAUUCAAAAUGUAUAAUAAAGAAAGUUUGUUCUCCUAAUGAAUGGACUUCUCUUUAUUCAAAGAAAUCUUUUUCAGUCAGAUUUAUUCCAAAUAGAUUUACUUAUCAAGAUUACAAAAUGGCACGGUAUCGUGCUUUUUUGUAUAGACCAUUCAAUCAUUCGUGGUUCUUUACAUUCAAAGAAAGUUGCAGUAGAGAAUUCCCAAUUUGGUUCAAUCACUGGUGGAAAUGGUUUGGCCAUCAACCAGAAAUUCUACCUCCAAAUGUUCUUAUGGGAUUCCAAACUUAUCUCAAAAAAGCAAAGGGGGAGGAGUAUACAAGGCCAAUACUAUUCCAUAUGUAAUUCAAAGUACCAUGGAUUUUUUGCUGGAGUUUCAAGAUUCAUCAAGAAUUAGAAAAAUCACUCCCAAUGUCUCUAGUCAGAGAAUUCAAAAUCAAAUGGUGGAUAGGAUUUAAUCAAGAAUUUGGAGAUCAGGCAAAUGUGAUAAGAUUUUUAACAACCGGAGACAAACUCAAAUGGACAAGUCAGCCAACCACUUCAACCACUUCAACAAUUAUGCCAACCACUUCAACAACUAUGCCAACCACUCCAACCAUUCCAAAAAAGAAAGAUAAAGAAAAAGUUAUGGUAUCUGAGGUAAUUACAAACGACUUUUUGAAGAAAAAGAUGAUGCAGAAUCCCGAGAUGCUUAAAGAAUAUUUUGACUAUUUACAAAAGCAGGAUAAGAAUGAAGAAACCGACAAAAUUGAUGAGUCGGCUGGAUCAUUCGAAUCUACUUUUGAUCCUUUCGGGGGACCAUGCGGACAAGACCCAAAUGACUUUUGAAAAAAGAUGUCGGCCAUAUUUCAAAGAAAGGCAAAUGAAAUUCAAAUGAAAAUGAAAUGCAAGAACAGAUGAUUCUAUAAAUAGAUUCAAGAUCAGAAAACAAAGCAUCGGUGAAAAAAGAGAACAAAACCUUCCCGUGUAAAAAUCCUUAGAAAAAUCUCCCAAUCUCUCUUAUUCAACUACUCUUGUAUUCAACUACUUUUGCUUCCUUCUUCAAAUAUUUUAAUAAGAAGUGCAAGGAUUCAACAAAUAUCAAGCUUCCGUUAUCAAAGGCAACUCUAAAUUUUCAGUAAGUCUAAUCGUUUAAUUUCUAUGAACAUUUCAAUAGAAAGGAACCUGGGUAGAAGUGGUAUCAGAGCCACAUAGACGUGCAUAUUUAAACUUUGUUAUUACAAUUACUUCAUUUGAAUUAUUUUCUAUUUUGAUUUGGCUAAUUCAUGCAUUUAUGUUUACGUAUUUUAUUAAACUUUUACUGAAAUCAUUGGUAAGACUUUGAUGCCUUGUUAGACCGUUGGUAAGUCCAGGGUAGGAUGUUCCCAGCAUAGUGCUCAAUUGUUCCGGAUUAGGUAAAAAUUUAAUUAAUAUUAAACAUGGCUGCAUUUCUUAGACAAUUAAAAAUAGGAUCUAAUUCAAAGCAAACUAAUGUAGUACAAAGUCAUGAAUAUCAUAUGCCCAUAAAUAAUUCAGAUUGGACAAUUUCAGAAGAAAAAAUAGAACAUAUUUAUCGAAUAGGCCCUUUAGAUUUCAAAACAACUUUAUCAGUAAAAACACAUGAAGAAACAAUAUAUAUUCAAGAAGAAUAUCAAUCCAUUCCAUUAUUAAAUCAUAGUACAAUUCAAAGAUAUUUAAGUAAAGGAUAUCGAUAUAUUCAUAUAGGUUUGAUACAAAUUGCAGUAAAACCUUUAUUCCAUUUAGGAGUAGAUGCUCCUAUAUAUUUAGCAUUAAGAGAUACUAGACUCAAAAGAUAUAAAACUUCUUUACUUUCUAUGAUUCAAACUAAUGUAUGCAAUGGACCCAUAUAUUUUAACUGUGCUCCAAAUUUCUCAAUAGAUCUAACAGACCCACACAUUCUGAAUUCAGUCAUAUUAGAUAUUCACCUACAAGAAAAUGAAUUUGAAAAACAUACAAAGAAUUUUACAAUAAUAUAUAGAAUAUAUUAUAGACCCCUAUCUUCACAUUUAAAUCCUAAAUUUAUAAUGACUCCAACUCUUAAAGAAGAAACAACUUUAUUACAAGUAGAUGCAGAUAGACCCACAACUUAUAUUCCAAAAAGACUAAAAUGGAAUGAAAUAACUAUACUUAGUGAAUUUGAAAUUAAAAAUCCACAAAAAACAAGAAAUAUAGAACAAACCACUGCAGAAGAUAUUAUAGAGAAAUUUGAUGGUAAUACUUUAAUAAGAUUUUCAUCAUUAAGAAAAAAAUCUGAUUCAACUUAUUCUUGGCUACCAGCUAGACAUUCUAAUUAUGAAUCAACUGAAAUUAAUUUUUCUUUAGAAAGUACCUCAAAUUUUAAGUAUAAAACUCCUAUUCCAGAAGUUAUAAAUCAAAAUCAAUCAGAAUAUUCUCCAACCCAUUCACAAAUGAAAGGAGAAAUAAAUGUUAUAAAUAAAUCAUAUAAAAUAAAUCAUAAAUAUUUACAAGAAGAUUUUGAAGAUAAAGAAAAUACUGAAAAAAGAAUUUGAUUUUUUCAACUAGAAUCUGAAUAUAAAAGAAAAUUAAUUCUAGAAUGGAAAAGUGAAUUAGAAAAGCAAAAAUUUGAUUUCCCUUUCUUCACUUGGUUAUCAUACUAUACUGAAAAAAUAAGAAUAAAUGAUAUAUAUAAUACACCUCAAAUAAAUGUUCAAACUAAUUUAUACAAAAAAUGGAAAUUAAAAGAUGAUCAAAUAAUAACAUCUAUACAUCCUCCGUUACAAGAAGUAAAAAUUAAUAUAGGACAAGGAGAUAUAAUAGUCUCACUUUUUAAAAAGGGUAGAGAAGCUGAAUCGAAUUCAAAUAAUACAAUAAAUUUAGAAGAUAUUAAAAAGGUUUAUCAACAAAAUAAUUAUACCAAUCAAAUUCUUCAUACAAUUUCUCAACAUAUGGAAGUAUUAAAUGCAAAAAUAGAUACCAUAAAGAAACUAGAAUUAAAAUUCCCUAAUGAUAUUUCAGCACCUCAUUUUCAACCUAGAAGUUUGACAAGAGAAAAAGAACAAGAUUUAGUUCAAAAUAUUAAUAAUCAAAAAAUAAAUAAUACAUACAAUAUAUUAAAUAAAAUAUCUCAGGCAUUACAAAACUUAAAUAUAGAAGUAAAACCUCCAACACCUAGGAUAAAUGUUUUAGAUCAAAUAAUAGAAGAAAGUUCAUCAGAAAAAUUAGACAAUUCAUCUGAAGAAUCAAUAAAUUCAGAAAUGGAAGAAAAUAUAAUUUUACCAAUAGAAAAAUAAUUUGAAAAAAAAGAAAAUAAUCAAAUAAAUAAAAUAAGAAGAAAAAGAAUUUACAAUAAAAAUAAUAAAGAUUGGAAAAUGAUAAGUAAUAGAAAUUAUUAUCCAAGACCUAGUCCUCCAGACAUUCAAUAUGAAGAAAGAUCAAAAUUUCGUACCACUAAAUAUGAUGGAGAUUCAAUAUAUGAAUAGAACAUAGAUGGCAAAGCAGAAUAUGAAGUAUUAAAUAAUUUAUAAGAAAUGGGAAUGGCUAGAUUAGCUUAUAAAAUUAAAAAUAUUCAAGAAAGAAAUAUUGCAACAUUAUUAGUUUCAGGAUUUACUGGACAAUUAAAAAAUUGGUGGGAUAAUGCUUUAACAUUACAAGAUAAAUUAUCAAUACUAGAUCAUACACAAGAAAUUGAAGGUGAUCAAGGAAAUAUUCAAAUACAAUCAGAUGCUGCAGAAUUUCUAAUUGUAACAAUAGUAAUGUAUUUUAUAGGAAACCCAAAAGAGGAAUUAAACUCUAAUAAAACAUUUCUAACAAAUUUAAGAUGUCCAACAUUAUCAGACUUUAGAUGGUAUAAAGAUAUGUUUUUAACUAAUGUAUUAAGAAGACCAGAUUGCAAUGCUUCAUUUUGGAAAGAAAGAUUCAUAACAGGAUUACCAAACUUAUUUUCACAAAGAAUAAUGGAUAAUUUACAAAAGAAAAUGGGAACAAAUGUAAUUUCAUUCGAAAAUAUUACUUUUGGACAAUUAUUUGCUUUUGUGAAAAAAGAAGGAUUAAUGUUAUGUUCAGAAUUAAAAUUACAAAUAAAAUAUGGUUCAAAAACAAAAGAAGUAAGAUCAUUUUGUGAUGCAUUUGGAAUUAAAAGAAUUAAAUUACCAUCUGCAUAUAAAAAGAAAGUUAAAAAAUAUAAUAAGAAAAUAAGAUACAAAAGAUCUAAAGAAGAUAAACCAGAAAAGAAGAAAAGAUUUAUUAAGAACAAAAUAGUCUGUUACAAAUGCGGAAAAAUAGGCCAUAAAGCAAACAAAUGUAAAUUAAAAGAAAAAAUUAAGGAGAUUUGUACACAAGACGAAGAAAUUAAAAACAAAUUAAUAAAUUUAUUAAUAAAUGAAAAAGAUUAAAGUUCUGAAGAUGAUUAUUAUAAUGAUAUAUCUAGUUCAGAAAGUGAAGAAAAUUGUAAUUGUGCUAAUACUUCAAAAUACAUAAAUAUUAUAACUAAAAAAGAGAAUAAAGAAUUUUUAUUAGAUAUAAUAGAAAAAAUUGAUGACCCAAUAGCUAAAAAAGAAUAUUUAGAAAGAUUAAAAAGUCUAAUUAUACAAGAAGACAAAAUGCCAAAGAUAAUAGAACCUUUUAGUAUUUCUAAAUUAAUAGAUAAAUAUCCAAACAUAAAUAUAAUGAAAAAAGAAACCACCAAAGACCUUCAAACAGAAAUUAAUGAUCUUAAAAUACAAGCAAAAUAACUACAGCGAGAAAUUAUAGAAUUAAAAACAAAAAAUUUAGAAAUAGAAGCAAAAAUAACAUUAAUAGAAAAUCAACCUUCAACUUCCAAUUCUAAAACAGAAGAAAUAAGUAUAUCAGAAAAACCAACAGAUGAAAUUCAAUAUUUAAAUACAAUAGAGAAAAUGAUAUUUCAAAAAUGGUAUGCUUUAGUAACUAUUACAGUAGCAGAUUUCAAAGAAACAUAUGUACCUUUAAUAGAUAGUGGAGCUGAUUCAAGUUGUAUUAAAGAAGGAAUAAUUCCUACUAAAUAUUGUGAAAGAACAAAAGAAACAUUAAUGGCAGCAAAUGGAGAAAAUUUACAAGUAAAAUAUAAAUUUACAAAAGGAUCAAUAUGUAACAAUGAAUAUUGUAUUAGACAUAAUUUUAUAAUUGUAAAAAAUAUAAAUCAUGAUAUAAUAUUAGGAACACCUUUUUUAAUUCAAAUUUACCCAUUUUCAGUAAGUUAUGAAGGAAUUUCAAUAAAUAUAAUGGGAAAAACUGUUAUUUUUAAAUUUCUAACUCCAAUAAAACAAAGAGAAUUACAGACAUUACAAACAUCUUCUAUUUACAAAACAAUAAAUAGUAUUACUAGAGUACAACAACAAAUAAAUUAUAUUAAGGAAGUAAAAUCUUAUUUAAAAAUUGAAGAACAAUUAAAAGAAAGUAAAAUAUUAAAAAGAAUCUCAGAAUUAGAAUAACUAUUACAAAAAGAAAUUUGUGCAGAUAUUCCUAAUGCUUUUUGGGAUAGAAAACAACAUAUGAUAGAAUUACCUUACGAAACAGGUUUUAAUGAAAAAAAUAGUCCAACUAAAGCAAGACCAAUACAAAUGAAUUCUGAUUUAUUAGAAUUUUGUAAAAAGGAAAUAAAGACAUUAAUAGAUAAAGGAUUAAUAACACCUUCAAAAUCACCUUGGAGUUGUGCUGCAUUUUAUGUAAUGAAUCAAACUGAAAAAGAAAGAGGAGUUCCAAAGGUGCUGCAAGGCGCGCAAAUAAGUGCAGAAGAAUACGAGAUUAUGAAGGACCUGAUUAUUCCACUUGGUAGAGUUCCUCAAUUUGCGAUGCAGUGUGGCGCUUAAAUUGUGACUAAAUAGCUUCCCUCAACUCCGUCGCCCAUUUUGCUCGUCGGGAUUCUCUAAUGGGGUUGCUGCUGGAAAAUUUACCUGCUGGAAAUUUAAUGUUCGUACACUUCUUUUUGGUUCUUCCGAGUUGAAAUUCCUCUGUCUAGGUAAGAUAACCUUACCAGCCCCUCCUUUGCUCCGGAUCCCUGAGGCGUCAAUUUGAAUUGUGAACCUCUUCAAUGAGAGACGACACAAGAAAUGGGUGGAUUUAAUCUGUUUGAGUUUCCACUUAAAAAUCAUCCUGUAUGUUGCAGAUGGCACAAGCUUAGCCAUGGCGAUGAAGGAAUAAUUAGCAAAAAGUAACAGAUGAAGGAAUAAUUAGCAGGAGGGUUCCGAAAUUACUCCCUUUGAGAAACACAUAUUUUGGCUUGUUCUCAGUUCAUUUAUAUAUAUAUAUAUAUAUAUAUAUAUAUAUAUAUAUAUAUAUAUAUAUAUAUAUAUAUAUCUUUGCUGGGCUCUAAACUUUUGGUGUAAAAAAUUUAAAAUCAAUCCAACAGCCCCAAAUUGGGUAUUUGUUUUUCAAUUUAUAUUCAAUUACAGACAUUUUUUAGUUUCAUGUCCUGGAGUCUUAGCCCAGCAGUUGACAAUAAUGUAAAGGAUAUGAUAUUGAAAAAAAAAAAAGAGGAGUUCCAAGAUUAGUAAUAAAUUACAAACCAUUAAAUAAAGUUUUACAAUGGAUCAGAUAUCCAAUUCCUAAUAAAAAAGAUUUGCUUAAUAGAUUAUUUAAAGCAAAAAUCUUUUCAAAGUUUGAUCUAAAAUCAGGAUAUUGGCAAAUAUUAAUAAUACCAAAAGAUAGAUAUAAAACAGCAUUCACAACACCUUUUGGUCAUUAUGAAUGGAAUGUAAUGCCAUUUGGAUUAAAAAAUGCACCAUCAGAAUUUCAAAAUAUAAUGAAUGAUAUUUUUAAUCCUUAUAGUUCAUUCAGUAUAGUUUAUAUAGAUGAUGUAUUAAUAUAUUCGGACUCAUUAGAACAACAUUUUAGACAUUUAAAUAUAUUUUUAAAAAUAGUUAAGAAAAAUGGAUUAGUCGUAUCAGCACCAAAAAUGAAACUAUUCCAAACUAAAAUAAGAUUUUUAGGACAUGAUAUAUAUCAAGGAACGAUAAAACCAAUUAAUAGAGCUUUAGAAUUUGCUACUAAAUUUUCAGAUGAAAUAAAAGACAAAAAUCAAUUACAAAGGUUUUUAAGAUGCUUAAAUUAUAUAGCAGAUUUUUUCCCUAAAUUAAGACAAGAAUGCUCUAUAUUAUUUAAUAGACUAAAGAAAAACCCAAAACUUUGGACAAAAGAACAUACUCAAAAAAUAAAAUAUUUAAAAGAAAAAAUUGACUCAUUACCAUAUUUAUGUUUACCACAUCCUAAAGCAUUCAUGAUAGUUGAAACAGAUGGAUCAGAAUUAGGAUAUGGGGGUAUAUUAAAACAAAGAAUAGAAAAAUCAAAAGAAGAAUUAGUUAGAUAUCAUUCAGGAAUAUGGUCUGACCCUCAAAAGAAUUAUUCAACCAUUAAAAAGAAAAUUUUAUCAAUAGUUUUAUGCAUAUCAAAAUUUCAAGAUGAUUUAUAUAACAAAAAUUUUUUAAUUAGAAUAGAUUGUAAAUCUGCAAAAGAAAUUUUACAAAAAGAUGUUCAAAAUAUAGUUUCAAAACAAAUAUUUGCUUGAUGGAAAGCUAUUUUAUCUGUUUUUGAUUUUGAAAUAGAAUUUAUAAAAGGAGAAAAUAAUUCAUUACCAGAUUUUCUUACUAGAGAAUUUUUACAAGAACAUGGAUCGUGAAAUGAUGGCCCAAAGAACUGAUCGAGAAUAUACCAAUUACCUAAGAACCCAAAGAGAUUCUCCUAAACUAUUAAACAAAGAAGCAGUUCUUCAAUCCAAAAGAUAUCAAUGGGGGUAUAUUAAAACAAAAAAUAGAAGAAUCAAAAGAAGAAUUAGUUAGAUAUCAUUCAAGAAUAUGGUCUGACCCUCAAAAGAAUUAUUCAACCAUUAAAAAGGAAAUUUUAUCAAUAGUUUUAUGCAUAUCAAAAUUUCAAGAUGAUUUAUAUAACAAAAAAAUUUUAAUUAGAAUAGAUUGUAAAUCUGCAAAAGAAAUUUUACAAAAAGAUGUUCAAAAUAUAGUUUCAAAAUAAAUAUUUGCUAGACGGCAAGCUAUUUUAUCUGUUUUUUAUUUUGAAAUAAAAUUUAUAAAAGGAGAAAAUAAUUCAUUACCAGAUUUUCUUACUAGAGAAUUUUUACAAGGACAUGGAUCGUGAAAUGAUGGCCCAAAGAACUGAUCGAGAAUAUACCAAUUACCUAAGAACUCAAAGAGAUUCUCCUAAACUAUUAAACAAAGAAGCAGCUUUUCAAUUCAGAGGAUAUCAAUAUUUUAUUCAGACCAGUAAUGGAAGACAAAGUAUUCCAGCCUAUCAAAUUUUCAACAUGAUACAGUGUAUAUUCAGAAAAGCCAUUUCGCAACCCUUACACCAAAGGAGAGAGUUUUUCUCAUUCAAAGAGAAAUUCAGAGAAACACUAUCAGAAUUCAAGUCCUAAGGAGAUCAGGAAGAAAUGAGGAAUUUCUUCAACAUUACAAAGAUCAAAAUAAACAAUUAUCUAAUCAACUUAAAGAUGUUGUUUAUUGAUUUUGCAGGAAUAUGGAUUCAAAAGCAGGAAAUUCUAGACCCAAGACUCCUCAAGAUUAUGAGAUGAGUCUUACUCCUGUAAAUCAAAAUAGAUUCCAAUUAUUGCAAGAUUUUCCAGCAUUGACUUAUAGUCAAACUGCUCGUACUCCAAUUUCUUCCCAAAUAAGACCUCUUUAACAAAUUCCAAAAACCUCAGAAAAAUCUAAUGAAAACUCUUAUUUCACAAAACCAUCUACUCAACAUAUCACUUUAACCAGAUUCCAAGAAAUACCGUUAUAUUCUACACUCAAUCAGCUUAUUCAAAGAAUCUUUCUACAAAAAUGUUAUUGGCAACCUGAUGACCCUUCAAAAAAUUUGAAUUAUUAUGAAUUAAUUCUUACUGAUACUCAAUCUGUAAAAAUAUUCCCCACUCCAGAUAGAAAAAAUCUAAUUAGUCAUUCAAAAUGUAUAAUAAAGAAAGUUUGUUCUCCUAAUGAAUGGACUUCUCUUUAUUCAAAGAAAUUUUUCUCAGUCAGAUUUAUUCCAGAUGGAUUUACUUAUCAAGAUUACAAAAUGGCAUGGUAUCGUGCUUUUUUAUAUAGACCAUUCAAUCAUUCGUGGUUCUUUACAUUCAAAGAAAGUUGCAGCAGAGAAUUCCCAAUUUGGUUCAAUCACUGGUGGAAAUGGUUUGGCCCUCAACCAGAAAUUCUACCUCUAAAUAUUCUUAUGGGAUUCCAAACUUAUCUCAAAAAAGCAAAGGGGAAGGAGUAUACAAGACCAAUACUAUUCCAUAUGGAAUUCAAAAUACCAUGGAUUUUUUGCUGGAGUUUCAAGAUUCAUCAAGAAUUAGAAAAAUCACUCCCAAUGUCUCUAGUCAGAAAAUUCAAGAUCAAAUGGUGGAUAGGAUUUAAUCAAGAAUUUGGAGAUCAGGCAAAUGUGAUAAGAUUUCUAACAACCGGAGACAAACUCAAGUGGACAAGUCAGCCAACCACUUCAACCACUCCAACAACUAUGCCAACCACUUCAACAACUAUGCCAACCACUCCAACCAUUCCAAAAAAGAAAGAUAAAGAAAAAGUUAUGGUAUCCGAGACAAUUACAAACGACUUUUUGAUGAAAAAGAUGAUGCAGAAUCCCGAGAUGCUUAAAGAAUAUUUUGACUAUUUACAAAAGUAUGAUAAGAAUAAAGAAAUCGACAAAAUUGAUGAGUCAGCUGGAUCAUCCGAAUCUACUUUUGAUCCUUUCGGGGGACCAUGCGGACAAGACCCAAAUGACUUUUGAAAAAAGAUGUCGGCCAUAUUUCAAAGAAAGGCAAAUGAAAUUCAAAUGAAGAUGAAAUACAAGAACAGAUGAUUCUAUAAAUAGAUUCAAGAUCAGAAAACAAAGCAUCGGUGAAAAAAGAGAACAAAACCUUCCCGUGUAAAAAUCCUUAGAAAAAUCUCCUAAUCUCUCUUAUUCAACUACUCUUGUAUUCAACUACUUUUGCUUCCUUCUUCAAAUAUUUUAAUAAGAAGUGCAAGGAUUCAACAAACAUCAAGCUUCCGUUAUCAAAGGCAACUCUAAAUUUUCAGUAAGUCUAAUCGUUUAAUUUCUAUGAACAUUUCAAUAGAAAGUAACCUGGGUAAAAGUGGUAUCAGUGCCACAUAGACGUGCAUAUUUAAACUUUGUUAUUACAAUUACUUCAUUUGAAUUAUUUUCUAUUUUGAUUUGGCUAAUUCAUGCAUUUAUGUUUACGUAUUUUAUUAAACUUUUACUGAAAUCAUUGGUAAGACUUUGAUGCCUUGUUAGACCGUUGGUAAGUCCAGAGUAGGAUGUUCCCGGCAUAGUGCUCAGUUGUUUCUGAUCAGGUAAAAAUUUAAUUAAUAUUAAACAUGGCUGCAUUUCUUAGACAAUUAAAAAUAGGAUCUAAUUCAAAGCAAGCUAAUGUAGUACAAAAUCAUGAAUAUCAUAUGCCCAUAAAUAAUUCAGAUUGGACAAUUCCAGAAGAAAAAAUAGAACAUAUUUAUCGAAUAGGCCCUUUAGAUUUCAAAACAGCUUUAUCAGUAAAAACACAUGAAAAAACAAUAUCUAUUCAAGAAGAAUAUCAAUCCAUUCCAUUAUUAAAUCAUAGUACAAUUCAAAUAUAUUUAAGUAAAGGAUAUCGAUAUAUUCAUAUAGGUUUGAUACAAAUUACAGUAAAACCUUUAUUCCAUUUAGGAGUAGAUGCUCCUAUAUAUUUAGCAUUAAGAGAUACUAGACUCAAAAGAUAUAAAACUUCUUUACUUUCUAUGAUUCAAACUAAUGUAUGCAAUGGACCCAUAUAUUUUAACUGUACUCCAAAUUUCUCAAUAGAUCUAACAGACCCACACAUUCUGAAGUCAGUCAUAUUAGAUAUUCACCUACAAGGAAAUCAAUUUGAAAAACAUACAAAGAAUUUUGCAAUAAUAGAUAGAAUAUAUUAUAGACCCCUAUCUUCACAUUUAAAUUCUAAAUUUAUAAUGACUCCAACUCUUAAAGAAGAAACAACUUUAUUACAAGUAGAUGCAGAUAGACCCACAACUUAUAUUCCAAAAAGACUAAAAUGGAAUGAAAUAAAUAUACCUAGUGAAUUUGAAAUUAAAAAUCCACAAAAAGCAAGAAAUAUAGAACAAACCACUGCAGAAGAUAUUAUAGAAAAACCUGAUGGUAAUACUUUAAUAAGAUUUUCAUCAUUAAGAGAAAAAUCUGAUUCAACUUAUUCUUGGCUACCAGCUAGACAUUCUAAUUAUGAAUCAACUGAAAUUAAUUUUCCUUUAGAAAGUAUCUCAAAUUUUAAGUAUAAAACUCCUAUUCCAGAAGUUAUAAAUCAAAAUCAAUCAGAAUAUUCUCCAAUCCAUUCACAAAUGAAAGGAGAAAUAAAUGUUAUAAAUAAACCAUAUAAAAUAAAUCAUAAAUAUUUACAAGAAGAUUUUGAAGAUAAAGAAAAUACUGAAAAAAGAAUUUGGUUUUUUCAACUAGAAUCUGAAUAUAAAAGAAAAUUAAUUCUAGAAUGGAAAAGUGAAUUAGAAAAGCAAAAAUUUGAUUUCCCUUUCUUCACUUGGUUAUCAUACUAUACUGAAAAAAUAGGAAUAAAUGAUAUAUAUAAUACACCUCAAAUAAAUGUUCAAACCAUUUAUACAAAAAAUGAAAAUUAAAAGAUGAUCAAAUAAUAACAUCUAUACAUCCUCCAUUACAAGAAAUAAAAAUUAAUAUAGGACAAGGAGAUAUAAUAGCCUCACCUUUUAAAAAGGGUAGAGAAGCUGAAUCGAGUUCAAAUAAUACAAUAAAUUUAGAAGAUAUUAAAAAGGUUUAUCAACAAAAUAAUUAUACCAAUCAAAUUCUUCAUACAAUUUCUCAACAUAUGGAAGUAUUAAAUGCAAAAAUAGAUACCAUAAAGAAACCAGAAUUAAAAUUCUCUAAUGAUAUUUCAGCACCUCAUUUUCAACUUAGAAGUUUGACAAGAGAAAAAGAACAAGAUUUGGUUCAAAAUAUUAAUAAUAAAAAAAUAAAUAAUACAGACAAUAUAUUAAAUAAAAUAUCUCAAGCAUUACAAAACUUAAAUACAGAAGUAAAACCUCCAAACUAAAAUAAGAUUUUUAGGACAUGAUAUAUAUCAAGGAACGAUAAAACCAAUUAAUAGAGCUUUAGAAUUUGCUACUAAAUUUUCAGAUGAAAUAAAAGACAAAAAUCAAUUACAAAGGUUUUUAAGAUGCUUAAAUUAUAUAGCAGAUUUUUUCCCUAAAUUAAGACAAGAAUGUUCUAUAUUAUUUAAUAGACUAAAGAAAAACCCAAAACCUUGGACAGAAGAACAUACUCAAAAAAUAAAAUAUUUAAAAGAAAAAAUUGACUCAUUACCGUGUUUAUGUUUACCACAUCCUAAAGCAUUCAUGAUAGUUGAAACAGAUGCAUCAGAAUUAGGAUAUGGGGGUAUAUUAAAACAAAGAAUAGAAGAAUCAAAAGAAGAAUUAGUUAGAUAUCAUUCAUUAUAUUUUGAAAUUCUGAUGGUGCAUUUUUUAAUCCAAAUGGCAUUACAUUCCAUUCAUAAUGACCAAAAGGUGUUGUGAAUGUUGUUUUAUAUCUAUCUUUUAGUGUUAUUAAUAUUUGCCAAUAUCCUGAUUUUAGAUCAAACUUUGAAAAGAUUUUUGCUUUAAAUAAUCUAUUAAGCAAAUAUUUUUUAUUAGGAAUUGGAUAUCUGAUCCAUUGUAAAACUUUAUUUAAUGGUUUGUAAUUUAUUACUAAUCUUGGAACUCCUCUUUCUUUUUCAGCUUGAUUCAUUACAUAAAAUGCAGCACAACUCCAAGGUGAUUUUGAAGGUGUUAUUAAUCCUUUAUCUAUUAAUGAAUUUAUUUCCUUUUUACAAAAUUCUAAUAAAUCAGAAUUCAUUUGUAUUGGUCUUGCUUUAGUUGGAAUAUUUUUAUCAUUAAAACCUGUUUCGUAAGGUAAUUCUAUCAUAUGUUGUUUUCUAUCCCAAAAAACAUUAGGAAUAUCUGCACAAAUUUCUUUUUGUUAUAGUUAUUCUAAUUCUGAGAUUCUUUUUAAUAUUUUACUUUCUUUUAAUUGUUCUUCAAUUUUUAAAUAAGAUUUUUCUUCCUUAAUAUAAUUUAUUUGUUGUUGUACUCUAGUAAUACUAUUUAUUGUUUUGUAAAUAGAAGAUGUUUGUAAUGUCUGUAAUUCUCUUUGUUUUAUUGGAGUUAGAAAUUUAAAAAUAACAGUUUUUCCCAUUAUAUUUAUUGAAAUUCCUUCAUGACUUACUGAAAAUGGGUAAAUUUGAAUUAAAAAAGGUGUUCCUAAUAUUAUAUCAUGAUUUAUAUUUUUUACAAUUAUAAAAUUAUGUCUAAUACAAUAUUCAUUGUUACAUAUUGAUUCUUUUGUAAAUUUAUAUUUUACUUGUAAAUUUUCUCCAUUUGUUGCCAUUAAUGUUUCUUUUGUUCUUUCACAAUAUUUAGUAGGAAUUAUUCCUUCUUUAAUACAACUUGAAUCAGCUCCACUAUCUAUUAAAGCUACAUAUGUUUCUUUGAAAUCUUCUACUGUAAUAGUUACUAAAGCAUACCAUUUUUGAAAUAUCAUUUUCUCUAUUGUAUUUAAAUAUUGAAUUUCAUCUGUUGGUCUUUCUGAUAUACUUAUUUCUUCUGUUUUAGAAUUGGAAGUUGAAGGUUGAUUUUCUAUUAAUGUUAUUUUUGCUUCUAUUUCUAAAUCUUUUGUUUUUAAUUCUAUAAUUUCUCGCUGUAGUUGUUUUACUUGUAUUUUAAGAUAAUUAAUUUCUGUUUGAAGGUCUUUGGUGGUUUCUUUUUUCAUUAUAUUUAUGUUUGGAUAUUUAUCUAUUAAUUUAGAAAUACUAAAAGAUUCUAUUAUCUUUGGCAUUUUGUCUUCUUGUAUAAUUAGACUUUUUAAUCUUUCUAAAUAUUCUUUUUUAGCUAUUGGGUCAUCAAUUUUUUCUAUUAUAUCUAAUAAAAAUUCUUUAUCCUCUUUUUUAGUUAUAACAUUUAUGUAUUUUGAAGUAUUAGCACAAUUAUAAUUUUCUUCACUUUCUGAACUAGAUAUAUCAUUAUAAUAAUCAUCUUUAGAACUUUGAUCUUUUUCAUUUAUUAAUAAAUUUAUUAAUUUAUUUUUAAUUUCUUCGUCUUGUGUACAAAUCUCCGUAAUUUUUUCUUUUAAUUUAUAUUUGUUUGCUUUAUGUCCUAUUUUUCCGCAUUUGUAAUAGACUAUUUUGUUCUUAAUAAAUCUUUUCUUCUUUUCUGGUUUAUCUUCUUUAGAUCUUUUGUAUCUUAUUUUCUUAUUAUAUUUUUUAACUUUCUUUUUAUAUGCAGAUGGUAAUUUAAUUCUUUUAAUUCCAAAUGCAUCACAAAAUGAUCCUACUUCUUUUAUUUUUGAACCAUAUUUUAUUUGUAAUUUUAAUUCUGAACAUAACAUUAAUCCUUCUUUUUUCACAAAAGCAAAUAAUUGUCCAAAAGUAAUAUUUUCGAAUGAAAUUACAUCUGUUCCCAUUUCCCUUUGUAAAUUAUCCAUUAUUCUUUGUGAAAAUAAACUUGGUAAUCCUAUUAUGAAUCUUUCUUUCCAAAAUGAAGCAUUGCAAUCUGGUCUUCUUAAUACAUUAGUUAAAAACAUAUCUUUAUACCAUCUAAAGUUUGAUAAUGUUGGACAUCUUAAAUUUGUUAGAAAUGUUUUAUUAGAGUUUAAUUCCUCUUUUGGGUUUCCUAUAAAAUACAUUACUAUUGUUACAAUUAGAAAUUCUGCAGCAUCUGAUUGUAUUUGAAUAUUUCCUUGAUCAUCUUCAAUUUCUUGUGUAUGAUCUAGUAUUGAUAAUUUAUCUUGUAAUGUUAAAGCAUUAUCCCACCAAUUUUUUAAUUGUCCAGUAAAUCCUGAAACUAAUAAUGUUGCAAUAUUUCUUUCUUGAAUAUUUUUAAUUUUAUAAGCUAAUCUAGCCAUUCCCAUUUCUUGUAAAUUAUUUAAUACUUCAUAUUCUGCUUUGCCAUCUAUGUUCCAUUCAUAUAUUGAAUCUCCAUCAUAUUUAGUGGUACGAAAUUUUGAUCUUUCUUCAUAUUGAAUGUCUGGAGGACUAGGUUUUGGAUAAUAAUUUCUAUUACUUAUCAUUUUCCAAUCUUUAUUAUUUUUAUUAUAAAUUCUUUUUCUUCUUAUUUUAUUCAUUUGAUUGGUAUAAUUAUUUUGUUGAUAAACCUUUUUAAUAUCUUCUAAAUUUAUUGUAUUAUUUUAACUCGAUUCAAGUCAAUGCCAUUGCUUCAAGGAAGAGUUGUACUCCAUCACAGCAAGCAUUGGCCUGGGUCCAUCACCAAGGCAAUGAUGUUUGUCCCAUACCUGGCACUACCAAGAUUGAGAACCUCUAUCAGAAUAUAGGAGCUUUGUCUGUAAAACUGUCAGCAGAAGAUAUGGCUGAACUUGAAUCUAUUGCAUCAGCUGGAGUCAAGGGUGAUAGAUAUGAUCCUGGCCGUGGUACUUGGCGAACUCCUGAAACUCAUGAAGACAUACCUUUGUUGAGGCAUUAAUUCCUUCUAGCAUUCUACCUGUUGGUGAUUUCACUGUAUUGAGAGUUGAGCGAGUUGUAUUUGUUCCAAAAACUUCGUCAUACUAUUGUCUCGAGGGUUAAGACACGUAAAGUUUUAAGAAAAUGGUGUUUCUUUAGAGUGCUUGUAAUGAAUAAAGAUCUGGUCAUGUAAAAGUAGAAGCCAACAUACCAACAAUGUCAUUGUAAACUACAUCAUACCAACAAAAAGUAGAAAAUGGUCUAAAGUGAAUAAGAAAUCAACAAAAACUAUGUAAGCACCAAUGGAAAGCAGAAAAGUUCUUGAUACCAUAGUAAACACCAAUGGAAAGCUAAAAAGUUCUCGACGCCAUAGAAAUUAGGGAUUCGUUGGGCAAAAAAGUUCUUAACGCCAUACUCUAUAGACGCAAGGGAUCUAUAGAGCAGGGAUCCAGGUUUGGGCAUCUAGCUAAGUAGAACAGGUAAAGGAAAGCUACAUCACAGAUGUAGCAAGUAGUUCCAAUGUCCUUGCCAAUUGUAUAGGCUUUCUUGCUUCCAACAUGGUCUCGAAAGUGCAGAUUAGAGAAGGAUAUCAAAGCCGGCCAGCUGCGAAUCCUGUGGGGUGAAAACCAUACGUUUGAAAAAAUAAACAAAACAGAGCUGCCUGAUCCUCAAUUUAAGCAUUAUACUAGAGAAGGACAAUACAAGCAUUCUCAAUGUUUGAGAAAAUAAACUUUACAUGCAGAAAGCAAAUAAAUGCUUGAAAUUACACAAUGGAUGGAUGUUGAAAAGAAUCACUAAAGAAUAUGUCUAGAAGAUCGAUCUGUUAAGCAUGGGAAGUUCAAAGAGUAGCAUUUUUUUUGAGUCUCAGAAAAAUGAAGAGUCCAACAAUUUAGGGAAUUCAAACUCUAUUUGUGAAUAAACUGCUUGUAUUUUUCCUUUUUCUAGUGUAAGAUUUAAGGAAAAGUUAAAAUCACUUGACCCCUGAUCAGUUCUUUACCAAUUCAUUGAUUUUGACUUCAAUCAUGAACAAAUAAUUCAGAUUAAGACUGAAUAGUUAAUAAAUUGAAAAAAAAUCCAGUCCUUCUUACUUUUCGUGCCUUUGGCCCAGUGUUGCAAAAGGCCUUGCCUGAGGUAAGGCAUUUGUCACUAAUCCAGCAGCACCAAAGCCUUGGAGCAUGGGUUAUAAUUCUCAUGAAUUUUAAAAUUUUUGAAUAUUUUAAAAAUAUUGUAAUAUUUAUGAAAAAUAUUAUUAAAAAACAUAUAACUAUAAUAAAAUAUGUAAAAUUUAAAAAUUAUAGAAAAAUAUAUUAUCAUGAUAUGCGGUAGUAAUGACAGUAUAGAAAAAAAAAAUAUGGCAAAAAUUCAACGAAUACUAGUUGUGGGCAUCUGAAAAUGGUUAUAGAUGACAAGGGACGAUGAUUUUACUUGGAAACUUGGGUUUUUACAUUCUUGUGGUAUGUAUUACUAUACAAAAAUGGUAAAAUUAAAACAUAACCAAGUUUUGGGGUUAAAUAAGAAAUUUGAGAUAACAGGUUAGCUAAAUUUUUAAAGUGAGCCAAAGCACAAGGACUUAAUACUACAUGUUUUACUAGAAUGGGACCCACAUCUCUAAAUUCAGGCCUGUCAAGUUCAUCGAGGUGCUUCGUUCGCAAACCCAUUUGUCAGCCCAAAUCAUCAAACGCUUCCUUCCUCCCCUUUUUAUUUACUAUAAUAAACCCGAUACGACUUCCUGAUUAUUCCAGGAUCCAACAAUUAAAACUUUACAUACAAAUAAAUGGUCAAAUUCACUUAAAAAUUGUGGGGUCAUCUUCCACAUUAAACUUUUGUACCAUCCAAGUUUGUUUUAAUUCCUUUGGGAAAAUCAAACAUCGAAUGCAUUCCCCAAAAAAAAAACAAAAAAAGGGAAAAGGAAAUGGCUUACCUUUGCCCUUACGUAUCCAAUCCCAAUUUGAACAUUACAUCAUCCAUCCAAUUGAAACAAACUCCUAUGGAGAUUUUUUUUUUUUUGCUUUAUUUUGUUGUUAGAUCUGAAUUUUUUUUUUCCCAUGAGCGCUAGUGCUCUGUGGGUCUCUCCUUGCCCGUGCAAGGCCCCUCCUUCCCUAGAUGCCUAGUGGAAGUUUUUGUCCUCUUCCCCCUCCUGCUGCUCUGUUUUUUCCCCGCUAUCUCUAUCUAUUCGUUUGCUCUGGAAUCUUACUUCGUCGGCAUUAUUUUCAAUUCCUUUCCUCUACAACUUUCUGGGCUUCCCCUCCCUCGUCCCUUUUAACCUUGGCUCUCUUUGUAUUUUGCAGGCACGCAGUUUAAAUCACUCAACCUUGGCUACCCUGUCCGCCUCUGCGGGCUGAAUCAAUUCUCACGAGGCCAUGGCUGAGGAGUUAGAAAGGCUGUGCCAAAAUCUUGCGCUAAGGGAUGAUGAGGAGGAGGUGCUGUUAUUGCCCGAUGACAAUGACGGUGGCUCCAAUUUUGACGGCGAUUUGUGCAUUCUCGGAAAGCUGUUCAGUCGGAAGUCCUUCAACGCAGAGGCUAUGAUGGCUACCAUGAAGAAAUCUUGGAACCCGGCUAAAGGCCUCGAGUACUCGGCAGUUGGGGAUAACCUUUUCCUCUUCAAAUUUAACGACAUUGUAGACAAAAGGAAGGUUAUGGCAGGAUGCCCUUGGGCUUUUGAUGGAAGUUUGCUGGUUGUCAGUGACUAUGUUGGUAACAUUCAGCCGUCCAAGGUAAAAUUGGAUCACUGCUCUUUCUGGGUUCGAGUAUACAACCUCCCAUUGGGAUGGAUGAACGGAAGAACGGCGGACUUUAUAGGGAGCAAACUUGGCACGUACGAGGGAUUUGAUGCAAAGGGUGGUCUCUCUGUGGGUAAGUUUUUGCGCAUUCGGGUUAAGCUAAAUCUCAAUAACCCUCUCAAACGACUGAUGAAGCUUCUAAUCGAGGGUGCGGUUUGUGAGGUUCACUGUCGUUAUGAGCGCCUUCCUAUGCAUUGCUAUUUUUGUGGUCGAAUUGGACAUGGAGAAAGGGAUUGCGACGACAAACUAGAUGUUACUGUGGUAAACAACGGCGAACCUCAAUAUGGUGGGUGGCUUAGGGCCACCAACGACAAAAAAUUCGCCGGCCCGCAACUUUCGUCUCGGACGGCAACACCACCGACGAAAGGGGGCCAGUCCCUCCCUGCUGCCGAUAAGGUCGCGUCACCUAAGGAGGUUGUUAGUUUUGAACAUCCGAAUUACCAGGCCUCAGAAUCUCCAAGUUUGGUUGGCAGGCCUGAUCCUACCCAAAGACCAGACGUCCGAGUUCCUAGCACCUUGGUAGCACCCCAGCGCAGACCUUUCUCUCUGGAUAACGGCCAACCAAUCCUUUCAACGGCAUUGGUCACUGAUAGUUCUCCAACAGCGCAGGCAACUUCCACUUCCUUACCCUUAACCACACAUUCCCCCCACUCAAUUGUUCAUGAUGGGCCCUCAAGCUCGGCCAAUUCCAAAGCAAAUGCUCUUGGCUCGAAGCCCAAUGAACACCCCAAAAUCCCAGUCCCUAGCAAACCAAGUCCGCCCAAUACCAUCACCAGCCCCAAAUUCUCUCUAAUCAACCCCGCCACAUCUCAGCAAGAACGUUCUCCUACUUCACAACCUUCUGUCAUGCCCCCCAUACCUUCACAGCCUUUUCACCAAGCUAUUCAAAUAGCCACCCAUGCUUCAUUGGAAAAUGUACACCCCAACCUUGGCCCCCUUUUUCGCCCCUGCGAUGGCAAGCCCAAACCCAGUCAUACAACCACUAACCCCAGCAUACCAUCCAUGCAAUUGUCUAUCACAACAUCUACAGAGCCAACCAUGGAGGAUGUGUUUCUAGUUGAUGCCACCUUAACGCAGCAAAAGAAAUUUUCCGACAUCCACGACAUGCGAACUAUCGCUUCCUCCAAAAAAAUGAAAGGAUGCAAUAUCUCCCGCAGGAAAUCAACACCUUCAAAAUUGGCCCUACAUCCUACUAAUGUUAUAUCGGGUCACAAGACAAAAAGAGAGGCCACGGAUGCUUCUUCUGCAGGGGAGGGAGAUGCUAGUGGUUCGGCCCCAAAGAAACCGAAACAUGCUACGCUGCCCGCACCUCCUCAAACAACCUCUAUAGCGGCGGAGACUGCCUUGCAGUCCCGCCGAGAACCAUGAAUUGCUUGAGCUGGAAUUGUCGGGGGUUAAAGGGUUAAACAACCCUCGGACAGUUCGGGAGCUCCGAAACAUCAUCCGGAGAGAUAAAGUUUCAAUUAUUUUUUUAGUAGAGACGAAGUGUUCGGAUAAAGUAAUCGACAAGCUAAAGCAGGAUAUCAGAUGGUUUGGUUUAGGGGUUGACUCACGAGGGAACUCGGGUGGCUUAGCUCUCCUUUGGAGGAAGGAUCUGGGUGUUGAACUUAUGCGUUUCUCGGAUUGUUUUGUUGAUGUUAAGGUGCAUAUGACUGAUUCCUCCUGGCGUUUGACUGGUUUCUAUGGUCAUCCAGAGGCGGCUAAAAGAAAAUAUACUUGGGAUAUUAUGCGCAAGCUCAGUACAUUAUGCUGCCUACCAUAGGUCUGCAUGGGUGACUUCAACGAGGUACUCACUCAAGAGGAAUUUCAGGGCGCGACAUGGAGACCGAAUUGGCAAAUUAUGAACUUUCGGAAGGCACUUUCGGACUGUAAUUUGUUUGACUUAGGCCAUGAAGGUAAUCACUUCACUUGGUGUCGGAAUAGGUCGGCUCCUGACACAACUAGAGCUCGUCUGGACCGCGCAUGCGUCUCCCAUGACUUUCUCACCUUGUUUCCUGAUGCCAGGAUCUAUCACUCACAUGCUCUUUUUUCCGAUCAUGUUCCUAUUGUCUUAAGAUUAUCGUGCUCGCAUGAUCUCUUAAAAGCUCGCAGCAAAUCUAGGAGGGACAAAUGCUUCAUGUUUGAAGCAAUGUGGAUCAAAUCAGAAGACUGCGAACGCAUUAUCCAAGAUUCUUGGGAGUAUAGCUCGACAGAAGAUGCUUGUGCCAACCUGGUUAUGAAGACUAAUAGUUGUAGGUUAGGCCUUCUCCAAUGGAGCAAACAGUCCUUCGGCAACCAUACUAAGGCUGCGGAUGAUCUUUGGCAAAGGAUUUCUCGCCUCCAACAAGGCGUUUUGACGGACUCUAUCAAAGCUGAGAUUAGUUCUUUAACUACCCAGCUAGAGGAGCUUCUGGACAAGCAAGACAUCAUGUGGAAACAGCGAAGCAAAGCACAGUGGUAUAGAGAGGGUGAUCGAAACACAGCUUACUUCCAUGGCCUGGCUUCCCAGAGACGGAAGCAUAACCAGAUUGUUGGCCUUUUCGAUAACAAUGGUUCUUGGUGUCAGUCACAGGAGGGUCUAGAAUCUAUUAUCAUGGAACAUUUUGGCACAAUCUUUUCUACUUCACAGUCUACUUCUCUGGCAAUUGAUGCAGUCAUCCAGCGAGUGCGGGGAUGCGUUUCCAAGGAAAUGAAUUAUUGUCUCCUGCGUACCUACACUACCAUUGAGGUAACAAAGGCUUUAAGUCAAAUGCAUCCAUUUAAAUCUCCCGGGCCGGAUGGCAUGUCACCAGUCUUCUACCAAAGAUAUUGGCAUAUUGUUGGUCGAGAUGUCACUCGUUGGGUUCUUACUGUCCUAAACGAGGGCACCUUACCUACGAGUCUUAAUCACACCUAUGUUGUCCUUAUCCCUAAGUGUCACAGUCCAUCCAGUAUCACCCAAUUUCGUCCCAUUAGUCUUUGCAACGUAGUUUAUAAGCUAGCCUCUAAGGUCUUAGCUAAUAGGCUUAGGAACUGUCUUCCCAAAGUCAUCUCACCAUGUCAAUCAGCGUUCAUCCCUGGGCGCUGUAUCACUGAUAAUAUCCUAAUUGCUUAUGAAGUCAAUCAUUCCCUUAAGCUGAAAUCCUAUGGGCAGGAGGGAUUGAUGUCCAUUAAGUUGGACAUGAGCAAAGCAUUUGAUAAGGUCGAGUGGCUUUUUCUUCGACAUAUGAUGAUAGCUUUAGGUUUCCAUUCCGCUUUUGUGGACAUUGUUUUUCGCUGCAUUUCUACUGUGUCUUACACUUUCCUACUUAAUGGGUCCCAACUUGGGAACCUACAACCCCACCGUGGUAUCAGACAGGGGGAUCCAUUAUCACCCUACUUGUUCUUGAUCUGUGCCGAAGGCUUUUCUUGUUUAUUGCAGGAAGCUGAACGUUGCGGAAGCAUCUCAGGUUUUCGGAUCGGCUCACGCGGACCCAAACUAUCUCACCUAUUAUUUGCCGAUGACACCUUAUUAUUCGGCAAGGCUGUGAGAACCCUGAAAAUGUAUAUACAAAUAUCAUUUCAUAUUUCAUUUGCAAUUUUAGCACCUCCACAUAAAAUAUUAAAGCAUUUAGUUUUAUUAUGUUAAAUUAAUAUCACCUGAGUAGAUUAAUUUUACUACCUUAAUAUAAAUUACUUGAAGUCCAAUAAUUCAUUCUAAUUAGUGAAUAGCGUUAAAUACUACCAAAAAUUCUCACGAUAGGAAGAAGCCGAUAAAUUUUAGAUAAAAACAAUACACAUAUACUAAAUAUGUGUAGGACGUAAAAAUUUCGAUAAAUGAAAUCUUGUGAGAUUGGUGUAUCAUUAGGAGUUUAAUUUACAUUCGGAAUAAAUUUUUGGUGUUAAGUUAAAAUCAAGGACUCAAGUAAGGAUUAGUAGGGCAAUGUGAAAUGUCUAAACCAACCUUCACAAUAUCACAAAAUCACCAUGCAAUUCCAAAACAUUUCCGGACAGCAUUAUGAUCAACCUCACCAUUCGACCAAUGCUCACCUUCACCACCUACACACUCAACCUCUUCCUACACUCCAACACCCUCCAAAACCGCGGGUCAUCUCCCCAUUUUUCCCCCUCAACCCCGCAACAUCACCUCCCUUAACUCUGCAACAUCUCACCUCAAACACAACUACACCUGAUAACCGAGAGCAAGGAGAGAAACAGUGAGCUGCGAUAGUUUGCUGUUCCUGUCCGAGAAGGAGAAGCGAGAGGGAGAUAGAAGGAGAGAACCGUGUGUGAGCUUCCGUCUGCAUUUUUUUAACUCCAAACAACUGCACUUCAGCACUCCUCACUGCAACACCAUUCCAGUCGCAACCACUGCAACCAAAACCUGUGCGAGCUGAGAGCCGAGAGGGAGAACAGGAAAUUUUUCAGAUUUCUUGUGAGUGAGCUGCAAUUUGAGGUAACCUCUGAGCUAGAUUAAACUAAUUAGAGGUUGUUUGAGUUAAUUAGGAGCAUGCAUAUAGAGUUAAUCGAUCGGAUGAUGUACUGGAAAAGAAAAGAAAAAUUUACUGCGCGAAGGGAUAAAUUUUGGCCAUGAGCUGAAAUCGGAAAUGCAGCUCCGAAAUUGUUCACUCUUAGCAAUCUGAACACCUAAAUGUAAUUAGCCGAGUGAAAACUUGAUGAUUAAGAUCAUGCAUGUUGAUUUGUGCGUUUGGAUGAUUAAAUUAGAAGCAUAAGAAACCUUGAUUUGGAAAGAAAUGGACUGCCGAGUAGCUGAAAUGAAAAGGCAGCACUAAUCUGUUUAUCUGGUAACAAUUUGAACUGAUGAAUGUGAUUACCUCACUAAUAAGAAGGUAAUUAAGUCUUGCAUGAGGCCAAGUAACUCGGCUAACCAAGAAAAUAAAAUGAAAACAGAAAAAUUGUUUCAUGCAUGACCAUCCGAGACUAGUUGAUAUAAUUUCUAGAUUUUAGCGAUGUUUGUAGUAUUAAAUGAACCCGAUGUUGAACUAGAAAUGUUAAUCAAGUGGUUAAGCAGUUGCAUGCUGAAUUUGAGUCCCUAAAAUACUGAUUUAACCAAGGGAAAAGCUGGAUUAAGAACAUACAAUUGCUGGAAAAUUUUUGUGAACUGCGGUGAGUUUGAACCUGGAAAUUUUGAGGAUUAUAACAGCUGUUUAAAUUUAAUUUCGAGCUGGAAAUGUUAACGGUCUAGCCAAGUAAUUGCAUGAUGAAGCUGAGAGUUUAAUAGCAUGUCUUAGCCAAGGAAAUAUUGAAUUCAUGAACAACGAAGUACUGGAAAUUUAAAUGACCGAGAGGUUGAGCUGAAAAUUUUAAUUGGUUUUUGGAAUUUUUCCUUGGAAGAAAAUGGUUCAGAAAUGUAUGAAAAAUGUGUACUUAAGCCAUGUAGGUGGUUUAGCUAUGAAACAUUUGUUAUAUUGGAAGUUUGGACCAAAAGGUUGGAAUGUAAAUGCUGAACAUUUUUGUUAGUAGCCGAGAGACUUGGAUUGGAAAUGUUAACUUGUUUCUGGAAUUUUUCUUAGAGUACAAUGGUUUCGAAAUGUAUGAAAAAUAUGUAUUUUAAGCUGUGUAAGUUGUUUAGCUAUGAAACCUUUGAUAUUUUGGAAGAUUUGAUAAAAAAUGUUGAAGGGUAGACCUGGAAAAUUUUCAAGUGAGUUGAUAGAGGAAGUAAAGGAAUUUUUCAGAUUUCUUUUGGCGAAUUUUAGUUCUAAAAAUGCUGUUUUGAGCUGUAAAAUAUUUCAUGCUUAUUGACCUCACUCUAGAGUAUAUUAAGAGGGCCGUGCAUGUGAAUUUUUGGGGUGACCAUUUGAUUUUUAUCAUGGCUACAAGAAUGAGAUUUUGGUUGAAAUCUUGGACAAAAUAGGGUUGCAAAAUCUUGCCUUACGUUCAUACACCUGUUAGUGAUUCCAAACGUUCGAAAUUUUGGCUUUGUUGCAAUAAGAAAUAAUUGUUGGGUGCUAAGGGCUAAUGAUUGAUGAAACCCUUGGCCAUUUGAAUGAUUUUAUAUAAGUGUUAAAGUUUGAAGAAAUUAAAUUGCUGGAAUUGCUUGGAGGCCUUAUGUUUAUUUUGAUUAAGUUGAGAUAGGAUAUGAGCUUGCCAAAACCAAGAGCUAAUGAUUGACGAAACCUUGGUCACUUGUUUCAUUUUUCUAUCAGAAAUGAACCUGUUGAAAACUAGGGCGAAUGAUUGACAAAGCCCUAGUGAUUUGCUAAAUGAAAUGUGAUUUGGCCAUGUUGACAAAUUUGAGCCGUAAUGUGAUUUCGAAAUGAAAUCGAAAUUGUGAAAGUCGUUUCGACCCUGUGAACUCGAGCAAUUCUGAGCAAACGAAUCAAAAAUAUUUUUCGCUAGUAUUAGACGAUGAAAUUCAGUAUUUAGUAUUUUGCCCUAAAUUUUGCUAACUCGACAAUUUUUUUGUAGCUUGAACUAGCCUUAAUAGUUAUAGAAAAUAAUUUUUAUAGCUUUUAAAACCCUAAGUCUUGUUCUAAUUCCUUUUCUUUCUUUAAGAUUUGCCUUUGGCUAGUUGUCUAUAGGAAAAGUUCCAAAAUAAGAAUUUUAAUAACCUUAAGUUAAAAACUUAGAAACUUGCUCGGCAAGAAACUUUAGUUUUGGUAAAAUAGUUUUAGUGACAAUUUUUGCAAGAACCGUAACUUUAAAGAAAUUUUUCAAAGUAUCUUUCCAGCUUUGAUAUUAAGUGGUUUAUCGACUUAUUUCAAGAAAAUAAUACUAGUUACCUUUUUUAUAAGGAAAAGUAUCUCAAGGAAAAACUAUAAAAAACAUUUUUACUACUUUUGUCAAGUUUCAACCCAAGUGGAUUUUUAAAAUUUCUCUGAGAAGGUAAACUAGUAAUAUAUUAGAUAAUCCUCUAUAUGUAUAAGCUUAAAAACUGAAUAGAAGACUUAUAGUUUUAAAACUUGGUUUUCUAGGGUACAGCGAGGACGUGGAACUUUAAUUUCCCAGCUUGAUCAGUAACUUCACUCUCGGUGAGUGUCCCUGCUUGUUCCAUGUCUACGUGAUUAAAGUGCUUUGUUGACUUGAUAUAUGAUAAUUGUGAAAUGGUUUUGAUCCAUCGAAGUGAGCAGUGUGUACUUUAUCACACUAGCCUUUCGAGUGGUGACUUGCGUGAAAUAUUUUAGUGAAUCCAAGUGUUGUGACGUCGCUGGGUGAAUCCCUCGACCAAUUUCUGAGGGUAUACGCAAGUAUACUGCUCCCAAUUUCUGAAGGUAUACGCAUGUAUACUGCUCCCAAUUCCUGAGGGUAUAUCUCGAGUAUACUGCUUCCUUAGUUGGUGUUCGGGCCCGGGACAGGGGUAUGAAUGGUGACGGGUUAGGAAACAAAAUGAGAUACUCUACAUGGAUCAUAAGUAGUGAGAGUUGACGGAGGGUCAACUACGAUGGUGUUUGGUCAAGCGAGGAAUCGGCUCCUGAGAGCCCCUGUAUCCUACCUUGUACUGUUAUACGCUUUUCUAAUUGUUGAAUUUAAUACUUGUUACUUGCCUUAUGUGAUUGCAUGUUUUGGGGCACCACUGAGUUUUAGCUCACCCCACAUUUAUUUGUUUUCCUUGACAGGUUUUGACGUUUGAGAAAUUUGAGCCUACUUAUAUUUGCUUAUGAAUGUAUUUGAACCUUGUGACUUGGAUUUGCAGUUCGUAAUGUAAUUCGAAUAAAACAAUGUACUUUUGUCUUGGGUUGCCACUUGAAGCUGGAAAAGUGUAAAACCCAGAUUGGUUAUGUGGCUUGUGUAAAUUUGUUACUUAGCUUGUAAUUCUGAUAUUUGGCUUGUAUGAAUUUGUGAGAUGGGAUUGUUUGACUUUAUUCCGUGGUUUGUAACGCGUAAGGUAUUUAAGAGUCGACAAUUGGUUUUUUUUAAAGAUGCUGUUAUCUCUGAAGUUAAUGGGGUUUUAGUCAUCAGCCUAUUUGGAAGGAAACAGUGUUGUAAUAGUUUAGGUUAUUCUUCGGAAUGAUUUGGAUAGAUUGCUUGCGUGAGUCCUGGCGAGAGUUAGGCAGACGGCCCGCCAACCCUUUGGUUCGCCUUAGGGGAAAGUGGGGUCGCCACAAAGGCAUCGCUGCAGGAAGCUCAGCACAUAAAGACAGUCCUUGACCUUUACAAAGCAGCUUCAGGUCAGGAGGUUAACUUUGAUAAAUCAGCAGUGGUCUUCAGCAAAAACACAGACCCCACAGUUCGUCGAAGUAUCACACAGCUUCUUAACAUCAAGGAAGUUCCCACUCACGACAAAUAUCUUGCCUUCCUACUGUUGUUGGUUGUUCCAAGUCUGAAGUUUUUUCAUCUGUAAAGGAGAGAAUCUGGCAGAGGAUACAUGGAUGGAAUGAACAGCGCCUCUCAACGGCAGGUAAGGAAAUCAUGAUCAAGGCUGUUGUCCAGGCCAUUCCAACAUACUCAAUGUCCUGUUUCAAGUACCCGGACUCCUUGCUUUCCGAUAUUCAAUCUAUGAUUAGUAACUUUUGGUGGGGUGAUGGCACAAAACAGAGACCAAUCCACUGGGUGAGUUGGAAUAGAAUGUGCUCGUCCAAAAAUGAUGGGGGCAUGGGCUUUAGACAACUUAAGGCUUUCAAUUUAGCUUUAUUGGCUAAACAGGCAUGGCGCAUUGCAACUCAGCCAUCUACUCUGCUUCAUCAGGUUUUUAAGGCUAAAUAUUUUCCAACGAAGGACUUUUUUCAUGACGAGCCUACUUCCAGGCCUUCUUUUACUUGGAGGGGAUUGUGCGUUGUUCGAAGAUAUUUACUCUCUGGUAGCAGAUGGCGAGUUGGAAAUGGGAACCAUGUCAGAAUCUGGAAGGAUAGGUGGAUUCCACGCCCUUCUACUUUCAAAAUUAUAUCCCGUUAUGAUGUGCUGCUGGAUGAUUCCACUGUGGAUUGUUUAAUUGACGGAAAUAGCAGGAAAUGGAAAGUUGAGUUGCUUCAGGAGCUUUUUUGGCAUGAUGAGAUUGAGUUGAUUAUGGGUAUUCCAUUGGGUGAUAGUCACAAUCACGAUAAGCUCAUCUGGCACUACUCUAAAAAUGGCUCAUUCACAGUGAAAAGUGCCUACCACCUUAUCAAAACACAAUCUACAGGCUGGCAAGAUGUAGCUUCAGGGAGUAAUGGUUCGGUGCAGGAUAUUUGGCCUCGCCUGUGGAAGCUCAACAUACCAAACAAAGUUAAGAUAUUCUUGUGGCGUAUCUGCAAGGGUAUUCUCCCUACAUCUUCCACGCUGAAUAGCCGUGGAGUCCACCUUGACCCUAUGUGUCUUUUAUGUAAGACCCCUGUUGAAGAUGUAACUCACCUCUUCUUGUGCUGUCCGGUAGCAGUUCAGGCUUGGGCCCUCAGCUUUCUUACACUAAAGAUAAGGUUAGACUCCGCCAAGCAGGUCUCUUCUUGGUUGCCUGGCCUUCUGAAUCUCUUGAAGAAGCAGGACAUGGAAUUGGUAGCCAUAAUUCUUUGGAAUCUAUGGCUUAACCGAAAUGGUGCUUUAUUCGAUGGUUCAUAUCGGGACCCGCUCAGUCUAGUCUCUCUCUCUAUCAAUUUCUUACAGAAGUACCGGGAAGCCAACACAUCUCCAAAUACUCCAAUCCGCACUUCCAUUGCUCCACUCCACUGGACAAAGCCCCCUGUGGGCUUCCUAAAGGCGAACUUCGAUGGCGCAGUUUUCUCCGAAUAUGGCUACUCUGGUGUUGGAGUUGUUGUGAGGGACGAGCGGGGCAAUUUUGUUACAGGAACUUCUCACAAAAUCUCUGGUAUCUUUUCCCCUGAGGUCAUCGAAGCCUAUGCUGCGAGAACUGCAAUUUCCUUGCUGCUUCAAUGGAAAGUGCCCAACAUUAUUUUGGAGGGAGACUCUUUGAAGAUCGUCAACAUGCUUAAGCUUAUGGAGUCUGAUGACUCCGCUUAUGGGGUGCUGUUAGAUGAUAUCUUUGUUAGGUUACAGAACUUCGCCGCUUGGGAGGCUAAUUGGGUCCCUAGGAAGGCCAAUGUGCCAGCACAUUUAUUAGCUAGAAAUGCUCGCUCUAUUUCAGAUAUCUGUAGUUGGAGUUAUUCUCCACCACCUUUUCUUCCCUCCGCAAUUUCGGCGGACCUAUCCUCACCUUAAUGAAAUUUUCUAGUUUGCUAUCAAAAAAGAUCUGAAAUUUUUUUCAAAAUUUGAAUCUAUUUUAACAUAUCUCAUUAUCAUUAUUGAAACUUAAAACCAUUUAUUGACAAAUCUGGCAAUUGCCAUAUGCACAAAAGGGAGACACUUUAAAAUUCUUUAUAUUUUAUUAGAUGUGUUUGUAAUUUUCAAAUCUAUUGUAUUAGUUAAAUUAUAAUCUGUAAUUUUUAAUGCAGGCUUGACCUGCCAUUAGGGGAGUUAUGUAAAUCAAAUCAUGUUGGACGAUUUUCAAAAAACAAAAAAAAAAACUUAACCGUCAAUUACUCUUCCCCGUUUUAUUUGUCCACUUUUCAAUUGUCAAUAACUCUUUUAAAAUAUUUUGCAAUACAAAAAUCAACUGAAACCAGUAGACAUUGUAAUUAAUAGCAGUAUUCAAUUCAUGUUUUUGUAUGUUACUCGUACAUCUAAUUAGUCCAAUUUGGAGGAAAAAAAAGAUGAAAACAAAAACAUAUAAUAGUCACAAAAAACACAGAUCUAGCUCAAAAUAUGGCAGUGACCAAUUGUUCUGCAAAAUUAGUGGGAUAAGCAGUUGACAGAUUCUAUAAUCCCUUUUGGUCAAAUAUUAUUUUUAAUAUUUAGGUCGUUACAAUUUCAAUCAUUUAAAUUACCCGUUACUAUCAUCAGUGGAAGAAGCACAUUGAAGGAAUGAUACUUUAAGAUGACUACAGAAUUUUUCUAGUUGGUCAUACAACAUAUUAAUAUUUGAAAAAAAAUUCUAAUCACACAAUUGUAUUUGAUCUCAACCAACCGCCACUACUUUAAAUUAAUUUGGAUCGUAAGUAAUGUCAUUACUUUAUGUGAAUAUCAAAUAUGAAAAGUGCAUUAUAUAUAUGAGGAAAGAAAAUAAAAUGUACUAGUUUUCAAUUUCUUUAUGUAGAAUAUUUUCUUGAAUAUUAAUUUUUGAUAUAUCUUAGUCAAGGUCAUUAAUCAACCCGGACCUAAUCAACUCCAAACCCAGGGCAAAUUUCUUUAAAAUAUUGCCAAAAAGAACUUCGAAAAAUAUUGUUGAAAAGUUGAGUAUUUUUCUAUCCAGGCUCGUUGUAUCUCUGACAUGCGGUGGACUAGUUCACUAGUUCCAUUUUCUUUGUAUAAAAGGAGUCUGUUUGCCAGACACAUGGUGAGCCACAUUUAAAAAUUGGUUUCUAUCAUAAAGCCUAUCAUGUCCGGACAGAAGAUGGACUGUUUUUUAAAUUUUUUUUUGAAAGCAAGUGAAAAGCGUUGCAACUCAGGAUUUGGAUAGUAAUUUUAAAAUUUAAUGGUGCACCUACCUUUUAACAUUUCGUGUGCUUUUAAGGUAUCAAAUGGGAAAAAAAACCAACACCAUAUAACUUCAAAUGCAAGAUGGUACGAAAUUUGUCAAUAUGUAGAUGUUAAUAUACAUUGACAUGUAAAAAGUGCACCAUUCAUCACAAAGAUAUUUAUCCUAAUAUUAGAUUCAUUUUUUCAAAAAUUCAACUUUUCAUGCAAACAUGUAAUCAAUAUGCAUAAAUAGAUAACAUUAGAUGAAUUUAAACAAGUAGCCUUAAAAUUUAAAAAUAUUUGAUUUCGUAAAUGUGCAUUCGCAAUUUAGAAAAAGUACUUUUCAAAUGGCAACUCUAGAGAACAAGAAAUACUCCUACUUUAUUUUGAUUUCAAAUCUUCUUUUGACUUGUCAAAAAAGUGAAAACACGAAACCAAUAAUGGGUCAGAUAGAGAGAAGUAUUAGAAAGAGAAAUUUGUCAAAUUGGUCCCUAAUAUUUACACAAAUCAGCCAGAAUAGUUAUUAACAUAUAAAUUAUGAUUCAUUUUGGUCCUAAUGCUCGUAUUUGCUCAUUUCUUUGACUAAAAAUAGCACGCCUCUCUCACGUGGGCAUAUUUUCAAGGGCAAAAUUGAAAAACACAAGCUUUUCUCCCCUUUUCAAGGAUAACAUUUUAGCAUAUUUUUCUUUCCAUGUUCUGAAAUUAGGGCUUUUCUCCCCUUUUGCUUCUGGUCAUGGACUCUUUGCUAUCGAGCUACAUCUCUUCCGAUGAAGAACAAGAAGAUAAACCACAGCUCUCAAAUCCCAGUUCCGCUGGAUUCCUCUUCUCACUGCCACCCCCAAAAUCUUCAUCAUCAUCUUCUUCCUCAUCCAUCUUCUUUCCAUUUCCCCCAACCCAAUCCCACCCCCCAAAGCCCCCCGUCUCAUCGUCUUCCUCAACCCUGAAUCCACAUAAAUCUAAUGAACUUCAAGAAGAGAGGGAUGGGCAGCAAUUGCUAAAAAAUCGGGAAAGUUCGAGAUUUUUUAUAUCGCUUCCAAAACCAUUGUCAUCUUUGUUCGCUUUGUUUCCUCAACCCAAAUCAUCUUCCACGUCAUCUCUUUUCUCUUCUCUUCCGCAGCCCACCAAAACCCACAAUCUUGAUGCCCGGGUUUCGCCUCCUGUGCAAUUUGCUAGAAAGAAGGUGGUGGUGAUUCCUUGGCAGUCGGAUCACACAACUUUAAUGGAAAGGUGAUGGAAUCAAGCUCGCCGGGUUUAUUGGUGGUGGUUCCUUGGGGGAUCAACAGCAGCAGCCACACCGCUAAAGGGAUCAAGCCUCAAAUUGACGCGGGUGCUUUUCAGUUUGGGGAGAAUAUACUGAAGUAGCAGCAGUAGAAGCUUCAAUUCCACGUUUACACUGAAAACAAUAGUGUUUUCUAGUUUUGUCCUUGAAAAUAUGCCCACAUGAGAGAGACGUGCUAUUUUUAGUCGGAGAAAUGAGCAAAUACGAGCAUUAGGAUAAAAAUGGAUCAGAAUUUAUAUGUUAAGAACUAUUUUGGCUGAUUUUAAAUGUUAGAGACUAAAAAAGUUUUUUGUGUAAAUGUUAGGGACUAAUUUGACAAAUUUUUCUAUUAGAAAUUUGUUUUCUAGAUUCUUUGGUUUCCCAAUUUUUUCAACGGGUCAACUCGACCAUUAUCACAUGCAUGUGAUUGUAGGUCUACCACGCUUCAUAGUCCAUAACGUGGCACCACAAAAGAUGGUGUCAAAACACUUUUCUAGUUUAGUAAGAUCUGUGUAUGUAUUAGUUCCUAACACAAGUCUCUUUAGAUUUUCUCUCCUUUGUAAUUUAGAAUAAAAUAGGUUAUACAAUUGUUAUCGUCUUCAGAAAAAAAAAGAAUAAGUCCCAUCCUAUUAUUAUUAUUUUUCUUUUAUCAAUCAACAACGCCUAUUCUACACCUAUUUGACUUCUAUUCUAGGGGAAAGGGAGGUCCAAUUGGAAAAUUAAUGGUGAUUGAACCACAAUUAGACCAAAAACUUUCUAGAUAAAAUUUGAUCUAAAAAAUAAAUAAUAAUAUAUUAACUUAUUAUUUAAUAUGAUAUAUAUUCAAAUAGAUUAAAUUUAAUAAUUUUAAAUUUUAAAUUUUACAUUUUAAAUUUUAAUUUUCAAACUUCAAUGUUGCCAUACUUACAACAACAACCUCUAGAUGGUCAACACUUAGAGUCGUAGCCCUUGCUUUUGGCAUUCCCCGGUCCAUAUGCUAUGUUGUUCUCAAUGAGGAAGCAAAUGUCCGCUAUUAAUUACACGAGCCAUCAGUCAAAUCAGUCAAAAGAUGUUAUUGAUUGAACCAAGUGGGCAAAUUGAAUGAACCACCAGCUCCACUAAGCCCUUAAGGCUGUGUUUUCAAACUCGGACCGGACCGGCCGAUCUGAUCGGUUGAACCGGGAACCGGUCGAGUGUCCGGUCCGAGUUGAUCAUCAAAACCGGGAGAUUCAAAACCCGGUCAAUUCCGGUCAAAACCCGGGUUUGACCGGUACAGAACCGGAAAAAUCGGUCCAACAGGAGAUUUUGUAAAAAAAGUUCAAACUUUUUUAAUAUUAUGUUUUGGCCCCCUAAAUUGUGAAAACUUAUUAAUAUAUCUCAAAUAUUUCAUACUUUAUAAAUAUUGUCCUAAAAUUUGAUGUUAUUUUUCAAUUAAAUCCAUAAUUUUAAUUCUAAACUUGUUAAUGUUUAUUAAAUAAUAUAAAUUGUUACUUGAUUGUUCUAUUUCAAGUAUAUAUGAAUAUACCUUUAUUAAUAUCAAUAUGUUAUUGGAUAUUUUAUAUACAAUAAUUUAAUUUUUAAAUAAUUUUUAUUUAUGACGUCAUCCGGUUCGACCCCUAUCGACCCCCGAUCUAACCCAUUGACCCCUGACCCCUGACCUCGGCCGAGUCGAUAUCCGGUCCGGUUCUGAAAACAUAGCCUUAAGGCUUUGGUAAACUUGUCUCCCAUCAAAAUAUCAUUCUUGUGGCUCUUCUUAAAAUUCAGAAGGGUGUAUUGUGCACCUGUCUGAUCCAGUGGUGAUUCUGUUCUCAUCGAUCUUUCGUAGGUUCAGUUGAGCCUUCCUGUAAUUAGAGUAGAUGUAGGAGUAGGGAUGACAAUUGAAAAAAAAAAAAAAGUGGGCAAAUUGAGUGAGGAUGAGUAAUUGACCUGUAAGUCUUGGCAGACUUGGAGGAAUCAAUCAACAUUCUCUGACUUGAAUGAGGUAAGCACAAAGGUGAGCAUUUUCCAUUUUUAUUUUGGUUUUCAUUUCUUGUAUACUCUAAAACUUUUUUCAUUCUACCCCACGCACAUAUAAUAUAUAAUGAAAUGUAAAUUUUUUUAUGAAAACAUAUAAAAUAUAUAAAAUGUAAAAUAAAUUUUUUAUAAAAACAUAUGUUUAUAUUUAUCUUUGUAUAAUGAAAAUAUAUAAUUCAUUCUACCAAUAUAUACGCAUAUAUAUAUAUAUAUAUAUAUAUAUAUGUAUAAUGAAAAAUUAAAUUUCUCCUUCAUCUUCAGGGCUGCACCUACAAACAACAAAACUCCGCUCCACUCAACUCUUUCCUUCGUGUUUUGUGUUUUUUUAUAAAAAACAUAUAUAUAUAUAUAUAUAUAUAUAUAUAUAUCUUUUAAAUUUCACUAAUUAUUUUAGCUCUUAAUGUUUUUUAUUUUUUUUACUAAUAUUACCUCAUGAGAGGUAAAAAGGGUAUAAAUGGAACAACAUUAUUAUCUCACUUUCCAAAAGACUUUUUUAAUGGUACUUUUUCUAACAUGGGUUGAAGCUAUUAUCAAAAUCUAGUUUAGGAAAAAUUAGUGCUAUUUUUCAAAUUUUAGGAAAGGUGAGUACAACUGUUAGAAAUCUCAGGGACGAUUUUUGCAAUUAUCCCUAAAAGCAUAGACCAAGACUACACUAAUCUCUAAAAAUUUGACACCUAUUUCUUAUAACUAUACUAGAUAAUUUCAUAAUUGUAUAGAAAAAUAAAUCAAAAUUUAUUAUACAAAGGUAUUUUUGGAUAUUUAUUUAAAAAUUUGAUCAAAUUAAUAUUAUUUUAAAGCUUUAUUACAAAAACUAUCAAAUCAAAGGAAGUAAGCGUAAUAUUUCAAACCUUACAGUAAAAUUGUUAGAAACCUCAUAGAGGUUCCUGAAAUUAUCCCUAAUAUUUUUUUUUGUACAAAAAACUCCAAAAAAUUGGCAGCUCAAACGGGGCCAACAAUCUACUAUGUUUGCCUGUUCUCCCGCCGGACCCACCAGCCGCCGGCGGCCAUGGGUCAUCUAUAAAAGCAUAGAUCAAGACUACACUAAUCCCUCAUCUGUCCAGUCCAUCCAUAAUUGCAGAAACUGGUAGGUUUUGUAUUUAACAAAAAUAUGAGACUUUGUAGAUUUUGAAGUUUAAGGAAUGGAUAUUUGAAGUUUAACGAUCGUUAUACAACUUUCAAAACAAAUAAAUUCAUUUUAUUUUUUUUUUGGAUAAUUUCAUAAAUCAAAUCGUGGUCACUUUCGCAAAAGUCAUAUUUUCCCAUAAAAGACCAGUUCUUUAUGACUUUCCUCCAUUAUAAGAACAGAGUACCCAUUUUUCCAUAAACAAAUUUAUUUAUCGAAUAAAAUAAAAAUAAAUCCGUUUUUCAAUAAAACACCAGUUCUUUAUGGUUUUCUUCCAUUAUAAGAAUAGAGUAACCAUUUUCCCAUAAACAAAUUUAUUUAUCGGAUAAAAUAAAAAUAAACCCGUUCUCCAAUAAAACAUGAGCUCUUUAUGACUUUAGAAUGAAGGGUUACUCCCUCUUGUUUGAUAUAUCUGAACCUCUUGUUUAAUUUAAAAAUCACCACCAUCAUUCUUGUUUGAUAUAUCUGAACCUUUCACAUUUUUACCAGUUUUUUUGCCCUUUUAUUUUUCUCUCUGUCAAUUUCCUAAAGAUUGAUGAAAUCUUUGCAGGUCCGAAUAAACCAAAGAACGAAAAUCCAAUCAAAAAGUUCGAAAUUUAAAGUUUAAAGGAAUGGCAACCUCAGAAGUCGUUCUCCGGUGCCUCCCUAGUCCCUCACGUCGCAGUAGUCACCAAGUCUUCAGCAGUCAACAUCCAAAGCUUAUAAAGUAGCACAAAUACUAUUGUAUAUAAGAACUUAAAUUUUGCAUCCGCGAGGGCGGCAGAAGUCAAUACUCCAGGAGGGACUAGGGGCAGAGGGCGGCCGCCGCCGAGGGAAGUGGGAGCUGGCUAUAGAAGGUCAUCGGGCGGUGGACUAUGAGGAGAGCAAAGGAAUAUCAAUUGAGAGUGCAGCGUGUGAUGGAGAGAAAGAGAGGGUAUGUCCGUCGUAAAUGUUGUCUGAGGGAAUAAGUUGAGGGUUUUGUCCAAAACUUCCCAAUUUGCUCGAGAAUGGGAUAAGUCAGAUUUUUUAGAAAUGAUUCCAAAAAUUACAUUCCAAUAGGCUUAAUCCAAGCAACAAAUAAGGGGUUUAUUCCAUUCUGUGAUUCCCAAACCCUUUAACCCAAUAGCCCCUUAAUAUUUUUUUACUAAUAUUACCUCAUGAGAGGUAAAAAUGAUAUAAAUGGAACAAAAUUAUUAUCUCACUUUCCAAAAGACUUUUUUAAUGGUAUUUUUUCUAACAUGGGUUGAAGUUACUAUCAAAAUCUAGUUUAGGAAAAGUUAGUGCUAUUUUUCAAAUUUUAGGAGAGGUGAGUACAACGGUUAGAAAUCUCAGGGACGAUAUUUGCAAUUAUCCCUAAAAGCAUAGACCAAGACGACACUAAUCCCUAAAAAUUUGACACCUAUUUCUUAUAACUAUACUAGAAAAUUUCAUAAUUGUAUAGAAAAAUAAAUCAAAAUUCAUUAUCCAAAGAUAUUUUUAGAUAUUUAUUUAAAAUUGAUCAAAUUAAUUAUUUUAAAUUUUUAUUACAAAAUCUAUCAAAUCAAAGGAGGUAGGCGUAAUAUUUCAAACCUUACAAUAAAAUUGUUAGAAACCUCAGAGAGGUUCCUGAAAUUAUCCCUAAUUUUUUUUUGGUACAAAACCCUCCAAAAAAGUGGCAGUUCAAACGGGGCCAACAUUCUCCUAUCUUCACAAGUCCUCCCGCUGACCCACCAGCCGCCGGCGGCCCUGGGUCAUCUAUAAAAGCAUAGACCACGACUACAGAAAUCGUCCAGUCCAUCCAUACUUCUUCUUCAGGCCUCAGCUACUAAACAAUAAACUCUGCUCCACUCAACUUGUGCUCAAAAUAUGACAGUGACCAAUUGUUCUACAAAAUUAGUAGGAUAAGCAGUUGACAGAUUCUAUAAUCCCUUUUGGUCAAAUAUUAUUUAAAUUCAUACUUUAAUCUUAAAUUUAUAGUUGGAUGGUCCAGGAUGUGGUAAAAUUUUUCAUUCAAACUAACGAUAGUGCGAAAAAAAAGACUAAUUAAUAAAAAUACGAUCUCGAAAAAUUUUUAAUUCACAUUCACAAUAUGUGAAUUCAUGAUAAAUACAAAAAAGUAUGGUACUUUGAUAAUACAAUGAAGGAAAGCCAUAAAGAGCAUGCCAUUUACGAGAAAAGUUUUCAUUAAUAAAAAUACCAACUCUUCACGGCUUUUUUAACGGUCCUUCAACGUAUGAGCAAAGUGCCAAUAAUUAAAUUAGUAAUUUUUUCGAUUUAUACAUAAUUAAUUUUUUUUUGCAUUUCCACAAAAAACAAAUGAAAAUUUUUUAUCAGAAAGCACAAAAGUCAAAAUGAUUGGUUUAAAAGGGAAAGGAAUAGCAUAUAUGUACAGUACUUGUAUUUCACGUUCGAAAUACUACAGUGCUGUUUGAAAAACACCCCCAACAAUAUCUAAUCCAAACGGAACCAAUCUUCAGUAUUUAAAAUACCAAAUUUGUGAAUGUGUUUUAACUGUUAUUCAUUGGUAUCCUAAAAUGUCAUUUUCCCAUCAAAUACCAGCUCUUUAACACCCAUUUUCCCAUAAAUAAAUUUAUUUAUCGGAUAAAAUAAAAAUAAAUAGCUAUUUCCAAUAAAUAGCUGGUGUUUUAUUGGAAAACCUGUUUUCCAAUAAAUAGCUAUUUCCAAUAAAUGGUUGGUGUUUUAUUGGAAAACGGAUUUAUUUUUAUUUUAUCCGAUAAAUAAAUUUGUUUAUAGAAAAAUAUGUCCUCUGUUAUAAUGGGAAACAAAGUACCUAUUUUAAACAUUUCCCAUUGAAUUUGUUUUGGAUAUUUAUUUAAAAAUUUGAUCAAAUUAAUAUUAUUUUAAAACUUUAUUACAAAAACUAUCAAAUCAAAGGAAGCAAGCGUACAGUAAAAUUGUUAGAAACCUCAUAGAGGUUCCUGAAAUUAUCCCUAACUUUUUUUUUGUACUAUAAAAGCUCCAAAAAAGUGGCAGCUCAAACGGGACCAACAAUCUACUAUGUUCGCCUGUUCUCCCGCCGGACCCACCAGCCGCCGGCGGCCAUGGGUCAUCUAUAAAAGCAUAGAUCAAGACUACACUAAUCCCUCAUCAGUCCAGUCCAUCCAUAAUUCUCCUAUCUUCACAAGUCCUCCCGAUGACCCACCAGCCGGCGGCGGCCCUGGGUUAUCUAUAAAAGCAUAGACCAAGACUACAGAAAUCGCUCAGUCCAGUCCAUCCAUACUUCCUCUUCAGGCCUCAGCUACUAAACAAUCAACUCUGCUCCACUCAACUCUUUCCUCUGUGUCUUGUGCUCUUGUCCGAAAAUGGCGGCGUCAGAAGAAGUGAAAGUGCCAAGAAUCAAGCUGGGCUCGCAAGGUCUUGAAGUUUCAGCUCAAGGGCUGGGCUGCAUGGGCAUGUCAGAAGCCUACGGGCCGCCGAAGCCCGAGCCUGAUAUGAUCAAACUCAUCCACCAUGCUAUUUGCAGAGGUAUCACCCAUCUUGACACCGCCGAUAUGUAUGGACCUCACACCAACGAAAUACUCAUUGGCAAGGUACCGUAUUUACAAAUUUUCUGCUGUUGUGUGCUGUGCAUAAAAUCUUGUACUUUUAAUUUCUAAAAGAGCAUAUUUGUAAUAUUUUAUUUGGGUAUAUUAUACUUGACCCCCUGCACUUCAAAACUUGUCUCCCUUUGUGCCCCCUUAAUUUUGUUUGUGAGCACUUGAACUCCAUUUGUUUAAAUUGUAAGUAUUAUUAGUCAAAUAGGACAUUGUUCUUCUUUUCUUUUGCUUCAUUUUUUCAUGUUACUGCCUUUUCAGUUUGUCCUCCUUUAUAGACAUGGGAUGAAUUACUUUGAUUUUGAUUUUGGCGCAAUUUUGUAUAAAAUGAUUUUUGCUAUGAAGUUAUUGAUUUAUUAUGAGCUAUGCGUUGUAUAUUUACACAAAUUCUGCUAGCUAAACAUUUACUUGAGCAAGCCUUCCAUACAUGAGCAAUAUAAUACUCUAUGGGUGCAUUUCGUAAAAUUGAAGUUUGAAAAUUAAAAUCUAAUUUAAAGUCUAAAUUCAUAAAGUUAUUAAAUUGUUAAGUACUAAAUUUGAUAUGUUUGAGUGCAUGUCACAUCAAACGAUCAGUGAAUAAUUGAUCAUUUAUUUUUUAGAGCAAGUUUUGUUUAAGAAAUUCAAUGCUAUUUAAUUAAUUCAGAUAUUCAUUUUUUGGUUAUCAAACAUGUUUGAAUAUGAUAAGAUUUGAACCUAUUAAUUUUAAGUGUUGAAUUGGAUUAUCAAAUAGGACCUAUAAUUAUUAGGUAACCAAGCAGACAACAUGUUUAGUGUAUAAUAGUAAUUAACGUUCAAUUUGUCUCGUUAUUCUUUGGUAAAGAACUCUUUGAAUAUUAAUAAUAAUUUUCUCAUCCACGGGAAUCAAAAUAAUUGAAGUUUUAUCUCUACCAUUGAGAUAUGUUACCUUCUAAAAGAAAGGAAAGGGAAGGAAACAUGGGGGAAAAAUAGGGAAAGGGCAAAGUGAUGAUAAAUAAAAUUGGAAGUAGCAAAAUGAGACAAGUGAAUUAUUGCAAGGGGUUAAGUGUAAAUUAUGUUUAUUUUAUUAGACUAUUUAACCAGAAAGACUGGACUCUUUUAAGGCACCAAUCAAAGGUUCCAAUUGCUGGAAAUAACAUGAAAACCUAGACUUUGGUUUGGCGUUUUUGGAGGUGGUUCAUGAAAAUUUUAUUGUAGUUUUUUUUUUCUUCUUGAAAAAUAUAUUUGUAAGAGAAAAAAAGUGGUUGAAAAAAAAUUGAGAGUUUUUUUUAAUAAAUUGUUUUCUAAAUAGUUCAGUCACCCAAAAUUUUCAGUAUUCCGACAAUGGCAUCCAUGUGGUGUCAAUUGUCAAACGUGCAACAAAGUUGAGAAGAGAAGGUCGCAGGUCUAGCGCAUACUUUGAAUAGCUACCAUCUCUUUAUUUUCUUUUUUUUUUUCCGUCAAAAUUCUACAUCAUAAUGGAGUUGGUAAAAUAGUACUAUUUUCGUCUUUGAUGUUAAAAUUUUCAUCAUUUUAUGGAAAGUUUACUAUUUCUCUGAUAAGAGAUAGUAAAAUUUACUUUUUAUGAGCAGUAAAGUUUUAAAGAUUAUGAAAAGAGAAAUGUAUGAAGGAAUAGAAGGGAAAGAAAGGUAAGAAAAUGGAUGGAUUGUAUUUGGAUUGAUUUUGAGAGGGGAAAGGAGAGGAAACGGAAAGAAAAGGAAAUGGAUGUAUUGUGUUUUGCUCAGACUCAUUUCCAUACAAAAGUAGACGGAAACAGAGGGAAAGAAAAUCUUGUUGAUGAUUUUCUAGUAAAAUGCCUCAAGCACCCAAAUAAAUUGUGGGAUGCAACAGCAGGCUAGGAAUGUUUGACGAAGCAACUUAUGUAAAUAUUUUAUCGUUAAGUAAAGUUCCUCUUUUGCUGUUAAAAAAAAAAAAAAAAAAGAGGAAAACUAUUCCUUUCAUGUCUGUCAUUCUACCAAACAGUAUAUUUAGGUUUUCUUUCUUUUCCAACCAUAUCUGAUCCAAAUAAGACAAAUGAGAACUAUUUUCCUCUGCUCUCCUUUCCUUUCUUUUUCACUAGGAUGUUUUAUUUAUAUAUUUAUCCUUUCCUUUGAUCCAAAUGGUUCCUAAAAGGGCCCUAAAUAAUUAUUCUACAUUGAUCAGUUCCCUAUUUUUGUACUAAUUUGCAUGUGCACGAUUCUGUGUAUGUUCAUGUUGUGCAUCAAAUCUUGUGAAUGACAAAGCUAGAGUGUAAAUUUAAGCUGAAGAAAUAUAAACCAAAAAAAAAAGAAAAUGGAUUGGCUCCGUUAAAGAAAAUGGAUUACAUACUUUUCAUAUCCUUUGCCAUACAAAGAAGUGGCAUAGCCUUAACAAUGAAGUGUUGGUAAAACUCCAGAAGGACUGUGCCAUCCAUGAAAUCACAAAUCCACUUGUUAUACCAUGCAAUAAUGUGUAUGUCCUUGAUGAUUAAUAUAAUGAAACCAUGGUUCUAGGCCUUGAAGGAAGGAAUAAGAGCGAAAGUGGAGCUAGCAACCAAAUUUGCAAUCAGUUUUCAGGAUGGGAAGUGAGGAGGUGAUUUUCGGUUGGUAACUAGACCGACCUGGAUCAGUCCUCUCUGAGAUGAAGUGAGGUGAACUCCUGUGUCCGAAGUGAACCUCGGUGUCCGAAGUGAGUGGCGGGGCUUCUCCCCUGGGAUCACUCCGACGAUCAAGUUAGUAUGAGAACGAGAAUAAUGAGAAUGAGUUAAUGAACAGUGUCCGCUUACUUGUUGGGAGUGUGUCUGGGGUAUUUAUAGAAGAGAGGUGGUCAAGACGGAAGGCUCAUGCUAGCGGGACCCACUCUCUGGCAUUACGGCUCUGUCUCCUGUCAGGAGGUCUGACUCUGACACUGUAGCCGCCUGGGAGUGAUGACGGAGGAUAUGGUGCAGGUGCCAUUAAGUGCCUCCAGUGCUUUUCAGAUAAAGUGCUGGUCCUGGAUGAUGUCAGGUGGGUUGACAUCAUCAGCGUGCAGCUGAGGCGGGGGUGCCGAGGUCGGCUACACAGUAUGCUAUGGAAACGGCCGAGCCCGAGCUCAGGGAUGAUGUCCGGGACACGGAUGAACUCCGAUGAGGGACGAGGUGAGUCCACCUCGGCCACUCGGGAUGGCCGAGGUGAGCAUCCUCAGGAAGUUUGAUGUACGUGGUGAUCCAGCCUAUGUGAGGGCUUGUUGUGAAGCAAGUUUGAAGCGGCUUGAUGUGGACUGCAUUGAUCUCUAUUAUCAACAUCGCAUCGAUACAAGUGUGCCCAUUGAAGUCACGGUUUGCUCCAUCUUGCCUUUCUUUUAUUUUAGCUCCACCUCAUUCUUGAUGAAACAAAAGUUUGAUCAACUCCAAAUUUAGAAUAAUUCAGUUUCAUGUCCGUUUCAAUUCUUCAAAAAUUGCACAGAAAAGUUAGUCAACCUUAUGGUCUCGGCUAAUCAGUAGUAUGGUAUAGCUGAUUUUGCACAAGGCAUCCUGAAAAGUGAAAACAAUGAAAAUGUCUUGUAUUAGCUUGACAGUCCUGCUGAGGGAUAUACAGAUGGAUAUCAUGCUAUACAUUGUACAGCUUUCCUUUAGAACCAAGAGACCUGAGCAUUCUCUUUCAUUUGAGAUAGGCUAUUUACUUACAUUGUCAUUCGUUUUCAGUCGGUGCCAAAAGCACUGCAGAUAGACAUUUAUUAUUGAUAUCUAAAAAACAUGGUACUCAUUUUGUUCAGAGCACAGCUUUUUGUCUAAUUGUGAAAGCCAGCUGCAACUGCCCCAUUGACCUCUCCAAGCAAUUCAAAGAUUUCAGCAGCUUGCUUACAUUAAGCUUUUAUGAAACGAUUUCUCUGUCUUCUUUUUCUCAUGUAAUCAGCAAAGAAUUGUCUUGUUUUCCCUGAGUAUUAGGUAGAAACUUUCUUGCAGUUUAAUCACUCAAAAUACAGGCAAGUAUAACGGAAAUCAAGCAAAAUUGGCAACUGAUAAUUGAUAUGUACAGCCAUCAUUAUAUAUAGAAGUCAACAAUGCCAUGUAAUCAUAUUGGAGGAGCAUUAUGUUGGCAUGGUCCAGUAGAACUAAGUCCUCCGGUUGGCUGUACAUAGAGAACUAUCACUGGAUGCUUAUUGCCAUUUUCAUCAAUUAGUGAUUUCAGUUUGAUGUAUACUUUGUCCACAACUUCGUUGAACUAGUGCAACUUUUACUUUUUGCACGUAAUAUUUCGAUUAUCUGCCUAAGUGUUGAAUGUAAUAAAUCAGCUUAGCAUCUUCUUGUCCAUUGAAAUUCUCUAGAUAGGAGAGCUCAAGAAACUGGUUGAAGAGGGUAAAAUAAAGUAUAUAGGUCUGUCUGAGGCCUCAGCUUCAACAAUUCGAAGAGCACAUGCUGUUCACCCAAUAACAGCUGUACAGUUGGAGUGGUCAUUGUGGACCAGAGAUGUCGAGGAAGAGAUUAUUCCCACUUGCAGGUAGUGCAUAUAUUCUGCUGAAUUUUCUAAAUGGUCUAGAAGAAAUAUGAAGUUCUCAAUUCAGUUUUUGGUAUAAUCUUUCAGAGAGCUUGGCAUAGGGAUUGUUGCAUACAGUCCACUUGGACGAGGUUUCUUCUCAUCAGGUCCAAAGCUGAUGGAGAAUUUGGCUGAAGGUGACUUUCGAAAGGUUUGUACAUAUGUUUUUGAGUAUAGAUUGUUUAUAGUUCGAAUAAGUUUCUCACUCAUCUACUUUUACCAGAUUCAGUGGCAAUCUUGCUUGAUAUCCCUAUUGUUGUCUAUCUGUUAUAUGUUGCUGCACUUUUUGAUAUCCAAUAAUUUGAUUAAGGCUUGUAAUAUGAUCACAUUUAAUAAAAUUUCUAUUAAACAUAGCAAUUCAACAGGAUUUUUUUUCCCUCUCGAACAAGUCUUGGAGUCUUUAGUUGAUUCAAUGAAUGCAUAUUUUGGUGUCCUCUGUAUUUAGUUCAAAUUAAGAGAUAUAGCACAAGCUUUGUCAAAUUUAAGAUCUUAUAUUAAUUGAAGGUUGUUAUUGCUUGCUGGAAAUUUAUAUAGUGGACAACAAUCACAAGCAAUGGGUAGUAUCAAAUUUUAAAGUGCAAAGAUGUCAAAACAUGAAAAAACUACGUCAUUUUUUAAGUGAACGUCUCUUUACAGUUUUGAGGGGAAAUGGACCUUAGACUUCAGUUUCAUCAUUUAGUCUCAGGCACAGAACUUAUGUUGUCCUGUGAAACUAUCAUUUUUCCUUUACCAUCAGUCCUAGAACUGAGUUUCAUUGGUCAGAAAUAUACUUCAUAGUAGUACCUCCUCCAUCGUUCUACAAACAAACAAAAAUUAGUUGAUUUGUAUUUAAGUUUCCUCUUUGAUGGGAAAUGUGUCUCAGAACUUAACUCCAACAGUUGAUGUUUCCUACUUGGAGUGUUCAGUCCACCUUGAUGCAUUGUUCUUUCCCCUGAACUUGUGCCCUUCAAACAGUAUUUCUGAUCAUCUUGAAGUAAUUAGUACCGUCUGUUCAUUGCUCCCUCCCGAUAUCUUGCAUUAUAGUUUCCUCCUCUUUAAUGGGAAAUGUAUCUCCGGAUCUACCUUCUACAAUUGAUGUUUCUUAGAGUACUCAGUCCACCUUACUUGAUUGUUCCUUCCCCUGAACUUUGUACACCUCAGACAAUACUAUCGAUCAUCUUGAAGUUAUUCAUAUUGUCUUCAUUUGUAGACGACACAUGCUUCACUCCCUUUUGCAUUUCUGGCGUUACAGUUGCUUGAAAUUUUGAAAUUCAUACAAUGCAGGGUUUGCCAAGGUUCAAGCAGAGAAUUUGGAGCACAACAAGAAGUUGUAUGAGCGGGCCACUGCCAUUGCUUCAAGGAAGGGUUGUACUCCAUCACAGCUAGCAUUGGCCUGGGUCCAUCACCAAGGCAAUGAUGUUUGUCCCAUACCUGGCACUACCAAGAUUGAGAACCUCAAUCAGAAUAUAGGAGCUUUGUCUGUAAAACUGUCGGCAGAAGAUAUGGCGGAACUUGAAUCUAUUGCUUCUGCAGGAGUCAAGGGUGAGAGAUACGGACCUGAAAUCAGCACAUGGCAAAAUUCUGAAACUCCACCAUUGUCAACCUGGAAGAGGACAUGAAGACAUAGCUUUGUUGUGGCAAUAAUUCCUUCUAGCUAUUUGCCUGAUGGUGGAUUUCACUAUAUUAAGAGUUGAGUGAUAUGUAUUUGUCCCUAUAAAUUUCGUCAUACUAUUGUCUCCAGGGUUAAGGCAAGUAAAGUUAUAAGAAGAAUGGAGUUUCUUCAGAAAGGUUGUAAUGAAUAAAGAUCUGGUCAUGUAAAAGCAGAACAUAAUUUUCCUUGCAGUUGAAUGCAUUAAAGGUUAUGUAUUGUACUUUUGAAUGCUAAAGUGGUCCAUUUUUUAUGUGUUACUGCUACGAGAGUUAUAGAUUGUUGGACAUCAUUUUUUGGUUGGAAUGUUUACAUCAAAGCGUCUCCAAGGACAUGUCAUUCUAAAGUUUAAACUACAUCAUACCAACAAAAUGCAGAAAAAGGUCUAAAGUAUGGGAUGUUUGUAAAUUUUCACGGGAGGCUUUGUUGGGUAAAUUGUAAAGGACUAGCAAAUAUUGUAACAAGAAUUGGCUUCAAAUCGUGAUAGAAAUCACUUUCCUUUAGGCUUUAUUUGUCCGGUAUAACGUGCAAUAACCUUAGACAAAUAUCCUUUAAGAUAAGAUGAAGUUUUGUUUGUCUUAAACUCUUGCACAAAGCAAGACAAACCCUUUGUGAACUAAGGAGUGCUUUUGAGAGAGUAAGGAUAGUAGGAAAGUGAUUUUCUGCAGCAAACUACUCUCUACUUGACCUCUUUAUAUAGGAAGAUUGUUUGGGAAACAAAAGAUCUCAUUAAACACUUGUAUGAAUAGAUUCAAAGUAUUGUGUACACAUUCAUGCACUUUAAUUCAUGCAUCUCAUGAUCAUUUAGAUCAAAACAUGAAUCUAUCCUUUCAUUCAAUAAUUCUCAUAUACAUGAAUACAUUCAUAAAUGAAUGUACUUUUAGGAACAUUCACAAUACUAUACAUGUACCAAAAAUUAAUGAAUACAUUAAUUACAUGUAUGUACAUCAUACAAAUUUUGAAAAGUUUCCAACAAUCCUCCGCCAUUUUCAAAAUUUAGAAAAUGGAUUUCUAAAAGGUCACCAAGUAAUCUGACACUCAUAUGCAUAAAUAAUGGUGUCUUUCGAUUGAACCACUAUCUUAGUGAAGGUUCUUUGAAAUCAAUCCUUCAAGAUGGUAGACAAGCUUUGAACCACUUGGACAUUGGACCAACCUCAUAAACACAUCACACACUGAGCAAUGCACAACCAUAAGUUCUUCAACGAUACAUUUUACGGCCUUGUAUCACUAUCCUUUCUUGAAUGUUUACAAAGUAAAGUCCUUAAUUUUGUGGUUUGCCAAAAAUUAACAUUCAUAUAGGCGACAUCUUAGUGCCCCCGCCAUAGAUAGCACUUUUAAGAUUCGUUAAGAGUCCAAUGACUCAUCCUUACAUUUGCACUGGCGAGAAUAACAUGCACUAUUCAACAUUGGGAUGUCUAAACUUCACAUAGUGCACCAACCACUAGAAUGGUGUACUUUCACUCAUUGAAUUCAAGACUAGACGUUGUAUUUAGCGUUGAAUUGAGGUUCCACCAUUAGCGAUAAAAAAUUUUGGACUUUAAACCAAUUCCCCUUGAUGUCUUUGACACCAAAUUUCUUGAUAAUCCUUUUAUCAAAGGAUCACUUAAAUUUUCAUUUGAUCUCACAAAGUCAAUUGAUAUGACUCCAUUUGUAAUCAAAUCUUUGACAUAACUAUGUCUCAAACCGAUAUGUCUUGAUUUACCAUUAUACACUUGACUAUAUGCUUUAGCAAGUGUAGCUGCACUAUCACAAUGGAUUGAGAUAGGCGAUAAAGGUGUUGGCCACAAUGGUAUAUCAUAAAGUAAAUUACGUAGCCAUUUAGCUUCUUUACAGGCCGAAACAAGUGCUACAAACUCUGCUGCCAUUGUUGAAUCGGUGAUACAAGUCUGUUUCUUAGAACCCCAAGAAAUUGCACCUCCACUAAGCAUAAAGAUUCAACCACUUGUCGACGAGUGAUCAUCUUUAUUGGUGAUCCAACAAGCAUCUGAAAAUCCUUUUAAAACUGAAGGAUAACCGGUAUAACAUAUACCAUAGUUCUUAGUGGCCUUUAAAUACUUUAAAAUUUUGGUUACACCUUGCCAAUGUAACCUACUAGGGUUGCUUGUAUAUCUGUUCAAUAUACCAACUGCAUAUGCAAUAUCAGGUUUAGUACAAGUCAUUGCAUACAUUAAAUACCCUAUAACCUUGGCAUAUUCCAUUUGAGAUUUUAGAUCCCCCUCAUUUUUCACAAAAUUUAUUUUAGAAUCCAAUGGUGUUGAGGCUGGAAUACAAUCACUUUGAUUGAAUUUGUUAAGAAUCUUUUCAAUAUAAUGUGUUUGAGACAACAUUAUAUUGUUAUCAUAUUUGAAGAUUCUCAUACCAAGAAUGACAUCUGCCUCACCCAUGUUUUUCAUGUCAAAUUUGAUUGAAAGCAAAGUUUUUGUGACUUCAACUUGUUCCAAGUCAGUCCCAAAAAUCAACAUGUCAUCAACAUAUAAACAAAUUAUGACACCUUUGCCAUAAUCAAACUUGCUAUAAAUACAUUUAUCAGAUUCAUUUAUUUUGAAUCCACUAGCAAGAAUAAUUUGGUCAAAUUUCCGAUGCCAUUGCUUCGGUACUUGUUUUAGUCCAUAUAAAAACUUUACAAGUUUACACACCUUAUGCUCUUGACCAAGUAUCACAAACCCUUCGGGUUGCUCCAUAUAUAUUUCUUCAUCCAAAUCACCAUUCAAGAAUGCUGUUUUAACAUCCAUUUGGUGAAUGACUAGAUUUUGGAUAGAAACUAUAGCAAGUAGCACUCUAAUUGUAGCAAUUCUAGCUACUGGUGAAUAUGUGUCAAAAUAGUCCACACCAUACUUUUGUGUAAACCUUUUGGCAACCAACAUGGCCUUGAACUUAUCAAUAGUUCCGUCGAUCUUCAUUUUCUUCUUAAAGAUCCACUUACAACCAAUUGGUUUUGAACCAGGUGGUAAAUCUACUAAUUUUCAGGUUUUAUUAUCCAUGAUUGAGUCCAUCUCAUCAUUAAUAGCUUCCUUCCAAAAGGGAGCAUCUUGUUAGUUCAUUGCUUCUUCAUAGGUCUUGGGAUCAGUCUCAAUAUUGAAGCAAUAUGAGAUUUGGUUGCUCACUGUAUCUCUAGUUCUUUCAACUAGAUACAUAUAAAAGUCCGAACCGAAGUCUUUUGAUUUUCUAGCUCUUUUGCUCCUUCUCAAUUCAAUGGUUUCAUUUUCACCAUCUUUUGUCAAUUCACUUGAUUUUGGAAUAACAUCUUUUAUAGAGGUGAACCUAUUCUCUUCAAAAAUAGCAUCUCUAGACUCAAUUAUGGUAUUAACCGAAAUUGAAUCAUUAGGUUCAAUUACCAUGAACCUAUAUGCUUUGCUAUUUUGUGCAUAUCUUAAAAAUAUACACUCCACACCUCUUUCUCCCAAUUUCCUUUUUUGAGGUUCUGGGAGUUUUACAAUAGCUCUACAACCCCAAACUUUCAAAUAGUUUAGGUUGGACUUCCUUUUAUUCCAAAAUUUAUAAGGGGUUAUAGAACUUCUUUUAUUAGAAACUCUAUUUAGGAUAUGACAAGCCGUUAACAAGGCUUCACUCCAAAAUCCUUGACUUAAACCAGAUUUUGACAAAAGUGCAUUAACCAUUUCUGUCAAUACACGAUUUUUCCUUUCGGCUACACCAUUUUAUUGUGGUGUGUAAGGAGCAGUCACCUCAUGUUUUAUCCCAACAGACUCAAAAUAGGUAAUAUCAUAAUAUUCCCCACCUCUAUCUGUUCUUAGACAUUUGAUAAAGGAUUCACAAUGAAGUUCAACUUCUGAUUUGUAUGCCUUAAAUUUUUGCAAAGUUUCACUUUUUGAGUGUAACAAGAAAACAUGACAGUAUCUACUAUAAUCAUCAAUAAAAGUCACAAAGUACUUUUUACCACCCAAAAUAGGAGUACCAUGCAAAUCACGUACAUCACUAUGAAUCAAAUUCAAGAUUUUAGAUGAUCUUUCAACUUUAGAAAACGAAUUUCUUGUGAUUUUCGUUAGCAUGCAUGUUUUGUAUUUUCCUUCAAUUUUAUCACAAUAUGGCAGCAAAUCAAGUCUCAUCAUUUCAUGCAUUCUUUUGUAAUUAACAUGACCAAUCCUAUUAUGCCACAAUUUAAAAGAAGACUCAACCAAAGACGCAGAAAUAAUAUCACUCUUAUUAUUUCUAAUAGCGAGUACAUUCAACUUAAACAUCCCACUGCAAAGAUAACCCUUGCCUACAAACAUACCACCUUUAGACAAAAUAAAUUUGUCAGACUCAAAUAUAAGUCUAAAGCCAAAUUUAUUUAACAGCUCAGCCGACACCAAGUUCUUCCUAACUUCCGGUACAUAAAACACAUUUGUCAAGGUUACAACAUUUUCGAAAGUAAAUUUUAAUUCUAUUUCUCCAAUGUCUUGAACCGGAAUUGUAGCAGAAUUUUUCAUGUAAACAACGGUGCUUUCAUCCACCGGUUUCAUGGACUUGAAGAACGUUCUAUUGUUGCACACGUGUCGCGUAGCUCCAGAAUCAACCCACCAAGCAAAAUUAUCUUCAAUCAUAUUGAUUUCAGAUAUCAUUGCUACAAGAAUUUUGCUUGUGGUUUGGGAAGACUCUUGCUUCUUCUUCUUGUUUUGAAGAAUCUUGCAAUCGGACUUGUAGUGUCCCUCUUUCUUGCAAUAGAAGUAUUGUCCCUUCUUUCUUUUCUUGGAUUGAUUCUUGGGUUGUUGGCCCUUCUUACUUCCUUGAGACUUUUCAGUUUGCCUCUCUUCAAUCACAUGCACUUUUGAAGUAGAAUCUUUGUUCUCUUCAAGGAUUUGACUAUCCUUCUUUUCUUGCAUGCGAAUUUCCUCUUCUACUCGAAGAGAUUUAGCAAAAAUCUCAAGAGAGAUAUCAUCUUUUUUAUGUUUGAGGUCUCUUUUGAAAUCUUUCCAAGAAAGUGGUAACUUAUCUAUUAUAGAGCAAACAAUAAUGGCUUCAUUCAUGUGUAGAUUGUGUUGUGUGUAGUGAUUAAGAAGCCUUUCAAUCUCACUAAAUUGCUCCAAAACAGACUUAUUAUCUACCAUUUUAUAAUUAUUAAAAGACGAGACAAGAAACUUCUUACUUGUAGCAUCUUCUUGCAUGUACUUGGACUCCAAUCGAUCCCAAAGUUCCUUGGCAGUAGUAAUUGAAUGGUAGACAUCGAACAGGUUGUCACUCAUGGUAUUGAGGAUGUGACCACGGCAUAUUUCAUCGUCGUUCUCCCAUUUCUGACGGUUUCAGAUGUGUUCAAGAGUUUCUUCAUCGGGAUUGAUCAAUGAUUUUGGUGUGAUCAAAACAUAGACCACUUUGAGUGCAGUGAGAAGGAAAUGAACACGUUUUUGCCAACGAACGAAAUUUCCUCCAUCAAACCGCGUGAGCUUGACAAUAUUGGAUGCCAAAUCUUUCAAGGUACCAUCCAUUGUAGAGUAUAAAUAAAGCCUAAAAAUUGUUGGGUAAAUUGUAAAGGACUAGCAAAUAUUGUAACAAGAAUUGGCUUCAAAUCGUGAUAGAAAUCACUUUCCUUUAGGCUUUAUUUGUCCGGUAUAACGUGCAAUUACCUUAGACAAAUAUCCUUUAGGAUAAGAUGAAGUUUUGUUUGUUUUAAACUCUUGCACAAAGCAAGACAAACCCUUUGUGAACUAAAGAGUGCUUUUGAGAGAGUAAGGAUAGUAGGAAAGUGAUUUUCUACAGCAAACCACUCUCUACUUGACCUCUUUAUAUAGGAAGAUUGUUUGGGAAACAAAAGAUCUCAUUAAACACUUGUAUGAAUAGAUUCAACGUAUUGUGUACACAUUCAUGCACUUUAAUUCAUGCAUCUCAUGAUCAUUUAGAUCAAAACAUGAAUCUAUCCUUUCAUUCAAUAAUUCCCAUAUACAUGAAUACAUUCAUAAAUGAAUGUACUUUUAGGAACAUUCACAAUACUAUACAUGUACCAAAAAUUAAUGAAUAUACAUUAAUUACAUGUAUGUACAUCAUACAAAUUUUGAAAAGUUUCCAACAGGCUUGUGAUAGCAAAAACUUCAGGAGGCUUCUGAAAUUAUCCCUUAAACUAAACUAAAGGAGGUAAGAUUUUAAGCAGAUCUCGGUAAGUUAAAAGGUUAAAACUUUACAUACAAAUAAAUGGUCAAAUUCACUUUAAAUUUGUGGUGUCAUCUUCCACCUUAAACUUUUGUACUAUCCAAGUUCGUUUUAAUUCCUUUGGGAAAAUCAAACAUCAAAUGCUUACCAUUUAUUGAAACAUUACAUCAUCCAUCCAAUUGAAACAAACUCCUACGGAGUUUUUUUUUUUUUUUUUUGCUUUAUUUUGUUGUUAGAUAUGAAUUUAUUUCACAUUUGGUUGUCAGAUCUAAAUUUUUUUUUCAAAUUUUAAAUCUAUUUCAACAUAUCUCAUUAUCAUUAUUGAAACUUAAAACCGUUUAUUGGCAAAUCUGGUGAUUGCCAUAUGCACGGAAGGGAUGCACUUUUAAAAUUCUUUAUAUAUAUUUUUUUAGAUUUGUUUGUAAUUUUCAAAUCUAUUGUAUCUGUUAAAUUAUGAUCUGUAAUUUUUAAUGGAUGUUUGGCCUGCCAUUAGGGGAGUUAUGCAAAUCAAAUCAUGUUAGAUGAUUUCCAAAAAAAACUUAAUCGUCAAUUACUCUUUCCCAUUUUAUUUGUCCACUUUUCAAUUGUCAAUAACUCUUUUAAGAAACUUUGUAAUACAAAAAUCAACUGAAACCAGUAGAAUAUUACUUUGUAAUAUUUUUUUUGACAAAAAAAAGUAGAAUAUACAAUUAAUAGCAGUAUUCAUAUUAUGUUUUUGUAUAUUACUUGUACAUCUAAUUAGUCCCAUUUGGAGAAAAAAAAAGGAUGAAGACAAAGACAAAAACACAUAAUAGUCACAAAAAACACAGAUCUAGCUCAAAAUAUGGCAGUGACCAAUUGUUCUGCAAAAUUAUUAGGAUAAGCAGUUGACAGAUUCUAUAAUCGCUUUUGGUCAAAUAUUAUUUAAAUUAGCUGGAUGGUCAAAUAUUACUUUUAAUUUUAAUCAUUUAAAUUACCAGUUACUAUCAUCAUUGGAAGAAGCACAUUGAGGGUCUGUUUGGAUUGUGAAUUAUUAGAGAUAUUUUUACUGUAGCACUUUUUAUGAUGUGAUGUAUGUGAGAUAAAAAGGUAAUUGGAAAGGUAAAAAGGUGUAUUGGAAAUUGUAAUAAUGAUGUAAGCAAAUAAAUUUUGAGAAAUAAAGCCCAAUCCAAACAAAGCCUGAAGGAAUGAUACUCUAAGAUGACUACAGAAAUUUUCUAGCUGGUUAUACAACAUAUUAAUAGUUGAAUGUUGACCUCACCAGCCAUCCCUCAUUCCUUGUCGCAUCCUUUUUAUGAAUUGGAUUCAUCUAUUUGGUGUUCUAAAAUCACAUUUAAAAGUUUUUUUUUUUUUGCGAAAGUGUUAUUAUUCAGGAUGUGUAUGAUAAUUUAAAAUUUUAAUAGUGGACCUAAAAAUAAAACUUGUAAAUUUUACAUAUGAGCCUACCUACUUUUAAAAUAGAGGGAAAAAAACAUCACAUAACUUCAAGUCCAAGAUUGUAUGCAGUUUGUCCAAUAAAUAGAUAUUCAUAAUUCAUAAUUUCAUAUACACAUGUUAACUAGAGAUGUCAAUCACAACCCAAUUAUAUUGAUCCGUUCAAAACCGUUCACUAAUAACCCAUCCAAAUUCACUCAUUAAAAUUUAAAUGGGUCUAAGUGAGUACCUAAUUAAAUCCAUUUAAUUGGUGGAUAGUUGAUUGAUUUGACUCACCCAUUUAUAACCAUUUAAAAAAAUAUAUUUUUAAACUCAAUUUUUACUAAGUGUUAAGAAGAUAAAUUUGAAUUUCCUACAAAUCUAAUAACAAUAAAAUAUCAUUUUUCUUGUUAAACGACAUGCAAAAAAUUUUAAAAAAAAUAGAAUUUCAAAUCAGUGUAAAUGGGUAAUUAAGUAUUUUCAUAUCCAUUUAUUAAAUAGAUAUAAAUGGAUUGAUUCAAUUAUAUCUAUUAUCCAAUUAAAAUUUGCUCAAACCUGUACAAGUCACUCAUUUUUAUGCUUCUAAUGUUAAUAUAUAUUCACAAGUGAAGAGUGCAGCAUUGACAAGGAAGAUAUACUUAUUUAUCCCAAUAUUAUAGUCAUUUUUUUCAUUACAAAAGUAUUGAUAAUUUCAUAAUUUCAUCAUCAGUGACAUAACAUUACAUGAAUUUCAACGAAGUAUGUAAUCAGUGACAUGACAUAACAUGUCAUCAUUAGUCUUCAGCGGUGAAUCUUAUCACGAGGCUUCUUUUCGAAGCUUUGAUUAUGGCAUACACUUCUGACAAUAUGUCCCUUUUAGAAUAGGGAUAAGUUUCUGUGACCAGGCUUCUUUUCAAAGCUUUGAUUAUGGCAUACACUUCUGACAAUGCCCCUUUUAGAAUAGGGAUAAUUUCAGAAACCUCCCUAGGGUUUGUAACAAUUUCAUCGAACUUUCUUGAAAUUUUUAAUAUUACACUUAUCUCCCUUUAUGAUAGACAAUAAUUAUAAUAACCUUCAUAAUUUUUUCAAAGACAAGCUAUUGAUAAAAAAGAUAAAAAAAAAUGAAAACAAUUCUUCUUGGCUAAGCCUCAUAUUGUGACUAAAUUGUUUCACCCAUAACCACUAAAUUGUAAUUUCUAUUACUCAGAAAAGAAGCAUUUUGGUAAUUGAGGGGCUUGGUUGUUUGAGUGGGAAAAGGGUAAGAAUUGUGAAUUUUAUGAUUGACGGUUUGGUAGACAACAUAUGGAAAAAACUUAUAGAGAGGUAAAAAUUAUAAAGAUAAGAAUUAUGAUGAUGGAUUUUGACAUCUAAAAUAUCGAGCUUGUUCGAAAAAAGGAAGAAAUGAUAAGAUCGAGUUUGAAAACUUGGGUAGAUGUAGAAAAUUAUGAGAUGAAAAAUAUUAGGACAUUGUCUAAGUAAUAAAACUCAUAGGUUUAUAGUAUACAAGUGUAUUCUUGAUUUUUGAAAAAUUUUAAUGACUAUUCAUAUUUUGAAAAUUAGAUAAGGGCAAUUUUGGACAUUCAUAUAUUUUUCUGGUCUUACAUCAUCAAGGUGAAACUCAAACCUAUGUUUUAGUAAAUGUAUGUGUAAUUUUCAAAAAGUGAGGAAAGCUGUCUGAAAUUAUCAGAAACCUCAGGGGUGAUUUAUGAAAUUAUCCCUAAUUUUUUUUUUGGUACAAAAAACUCCAAAAUAAUAUGUCCCACACUCUGUGCCACACUCUGUGCCACUUUUUAUUAUAUUGCUAUUUUUCCUACAUAAAUAACAUGUUUUAAUUCUUUUUUGCUUUCUUAAGAUCCAAUAACUAUUAAUUAAGUAAAAAAUAAAUACAACAACUUCAAAAAAGCAAUAUAUAAUAGAAAAUUAAAAAAUACAGCAGAAAAUUCAUAAAAAAUCUCAUUUUUUAUAUAUUUUGAUUUUUUGACUUUGUUAAAUUUUGUGUAUUACUCAAUUAAUAGUUAUUGGAUCUUAAGGAAGCAAAAAAGAAUUAAAAUAUGAUGUUUAUGUAGGAGAAAUAGUAAUAUAAUAAAAAAUGGGACAGGCACAUGGUGUGGGACAAAAGGUCCGUUGCACCAAAAAAGUGGCAGUUCAAACUGGAACCAUCUCCUAUUUUCGCAAGUCCUCCCGCCGGCGGCCCUGGGUCAUCUAUAAAAGUAUAGACCAAGACAACACUAAUCCCUCAUCAGUCCACUCCAUACUUCUUCUUCAAGCCUCAGCAACGAAACAAUAAACUCUGCUCCACUCAACUCUUUCCUCUGUGUCUUGUGCUCUUGUCUGAAAAUGGCGGCGUCAGAAGAAGUGAAAGUGCCAAGAAUCAAGCUGGGGUCGCAAGGUUUUGAAGUUUCAGCUCAAGGGCUGGGCUGCAUGGGCAUGUCAGCCUUCUACGGGCCGCCAAAGCCCGAGCCUGAUAUGAUCAAACUCAUCCACCAUGCUAUUUGCAGAGGAAUCACCCAUCUUGACACCUCCGAUAUCUAUGGACCUCACACCAACGAAAUACUCAUUGGCAAGGUACCAUAUUUGCAAAUUUUCUGCUGUUGUCUGCUAUGCGUAAACUCUUGUAAUUUUAAUUUCUAAAAGAGCAUAUUUUUAAAUAUUUUAUUUAGGUAAAUUAUACUUAAUCCCUUGCACUUCAAAAUUUGUCUCCCUUUGUGCCCCCUUAAUUUUGUUUGUCAGCACUUAAACUCCACUUGUUUAAAUUGUAAGUAUUAUUAGUCAAAUAUGACAUUGUUCUUCUUCAUUUUUUCAUGUUACUGCCUUUUCAGUUUGUCCUCCUUUAUAAAUAUGGGAUGAAUUACUUUGAUUUUGAUUUUGGUGCAAUUUUGUAUAAAAUGAUUUUUGCUAUGAAGUUAUUGAUUUAUUAUGAGCUAUGCGUUGUAUAUUUACACAAAUUCUGCUAGUUAAACAUUCACUUGAGCAGGCCUUCCAAACAUGAGCAAUAUAAUUCUCUAUGGGUGCAUUUGGUAAAAUUGACGAUUGAAAAUUGAAAUCUAAUUUAAAGUCUGAAUCCAUAAAAUUAUUAAUUUGUUAAGUACUAAAUUUGAUACGUUUGAGUGCAUGUCAUGUCAAGUGAUCACAGAAUAACUCAUCACUUAUUUUUUAAAGCAAGUUUUGCUUAAGAAAUUCAGUGCCAUUUAAUUAAUUUAGAUAUUCAAUGUUUAAUUAUCAAACAUAUAUGAAUAUAUUAACAUCUGAAUCUAUUAAUUUUAAGUGCUGAAUUGGGUUAUCAAACAUGACCUAUAAUUAUUAGGUAACCAAGCAGACAACAUGUUUAGUGUAUAAUAGUAAUUAACUUUCAAUUUGUGUCGUUAUUCUUUGGUAAAGAACUCUUAGAAUUAUUAAUAAUAAAUUUCUCAUACACGGGAAUCAAAAUAAUUGAAGUUUUAUCUCUACCAUUGAGAUAUGUUGCCAUCUAAAAGAAAGGAAAGGGAAGGAAACAUGGGGGAAAAUAGGGAAAGGGCAAAGUGAUGAUAAAUAAAAUUGGAAGUAGCAAAAUGAGACAAAUGAAUUAUUGCAAGGGGUUAAGUGUAAAUUAUGUUUAUUUUAUGAGACCAUUUAGGCAGAAAGACUGGACCCUUUUAACGCGCCAAUCAAAAGUUCCAAUUGCUGAAAAUAACAUAAAAACUUGACUUUGUUUGGUUUGGCGUUUUUGGAGGUGGUUCAUGAAAAUUUUAUUGUAGUUUUUUUUUUCAUCUUGAAAAAUAUACUUUUUUCAUCAAUUUAUGGAAAGUUUACAAUUUCUCUGAUAACAGAUGGUAAAAUUUACUUUUUACGAGCACUGAAGUUUUAAAGAUUAUGAAAAGAGAAUUGUAUGAAGGAAUAGAAGGGAAAAGAAGGGUAAGAAAAUGGAUGGAUUGUGUUUGGAUUGAUUUUGGGAGGGGCAAGGAGAGGAAACGGAGAGAAAAGGAAAUGGAUGGAUUGUGUUUUGCUCAGACAUCAUUUCCAUACAAAAGUAGAUAGAAACAGAGGGAAAGAAAAUCUUGUUGAUGAUUUUCUAGUAAAAUGCCUCGAGCACCCAAAUUUUACAUAAACUUGCCAUUUGUGAAACCUGCUUUAGAUAUGAAUUGUGGGAUGCAACAGCAGGCUAGGAAUGUUUGACGAAGCAACUUGUGUAGAUAUUUUAUCGUUAAGUAAAGAGAAAAACUAUUCCUUUCAUGUCUGUCGUUCUACCAAACAGCAUAUUUAGGUUUUCUUUCUUUCCCAUUCAUAUCUAAUCCAAAUAAGACAAAUGAGAACUAUUUUCUCUACUCUCCUUUCCUUUCUUUUUCACUAGCAUGUUUUAUUUAUUUAUUUAUCCUUUCCUUUGAUCCAAAUGGUUCCUAAAAGGCCACUAAUUAUUCUACAUUGACCAGUUCCCUAUUUUUGUAUUAAUUUGCAUGUGCACGAUUCUGUGUAUGUUCAUGUUGUGCAUCAAAUCUUGUGAAUGACAAAGCUAGAGUGUAAAUUUAAGUUGAAGAAAUAUAAAACAAAAAAGAAAAUGGAUUGGCUCCUUUAAGAGUAUCAGACUUCUAAACCCCAAGGAUUACAUAAUUUUCAUAUCCUUUGCGAUACAAAGAAGUGGCAUAGCCUUAACAAUGAAGUGUUGGAAAAACUCCAGAAGGAAUGUGCCAUCCAUGAAAUCCCAAAUCGGCUUGCUGUACCAUGCAGUAAUGUGUAUGUCCUUGAUGAUUAACAUAAUGAAAUCAUGGUUCUAGGCCUUGAAGGAAGGAAUAAGAGCGAAAGUGGAGCUAGCAACAAAAUUUGCAAUCAGUUAUCAGGAUGAGAAGUUUGAUGUACGUGGUGAUCCAGCCUAUGUGAGGGCUUGUUGUGAAGCGAGUUUGAAGCGGCUUGAUGUGGACUGCAUUGAUCUCUAUUAUCAACAUCGCAUUGAUACACGUGUGCCCAUUGAAGUCACGGUUUGCUCGUCUUGCCUUUCUUGUUUUUUAGCUCCACCUCAUUCUUGAUGAAACAAAAGUUUGAUCAACUCCAAAUUUUGAAUAAUUCAGUUUCAUGUCCGUUUCAAUUCUUCAAAAGUUGCACAGAAAAGUUAGUCAACCUUAUGGUCUCGGCUAAUCUGCAGUAUGGUAUAGCUGAUUUUGCACAAGGCAUCCUGAAAAGUGAAAACAAUGAAUAUGUCUUAUAUUAGCUUUGGCUGUCCUGCUGAGGGAUAUACAGGUGGAAAUCAUGCUAUACAUUGUACAGCUUUCCUUUAGAACCAAGAAACCCGAGCAUUCUCUUUCAAUUGAGAUAGGCUAUCUGGUUGAGUAAUGAUCUGCUAUUUACUUACCUUGUCAACCAUUUUCAGUUGGUGCCUAAAGCACUGCAGAUAGACAUUUAUUAUUGAUAUCUAAAAAACAUGGUACUCAUUUUGUCCAGAGCACAGCUUUUUGUCUAAUUGUCAAAGCCAGCUGCAACUGCCCCAUUGACCUCUCCAGACAAUUCAAAGAUUUCAGCAGCUUGCUUACAUUCAGCUUUUAUGAAACAAUUUCUGUCUUCUUUUUCUCAUGUAAUCAGCAAAGAAUUGUCUUGGUUUCCCUGAGUAUUAGAUAGAAACUUUCUUGCAGUUUAAUCACUCAAAAUACAAGCAAGUAUAAAGGAAAUCAAGCAAAAUUGGCAACUGAUAAUUGGUAUGUACGGCCAUUAUUAUAUAUAGAAGUCAACAAUGCCAUGUAAUCAUAUUGGAGGAGCAUUAUGUUGGCAUGGUCCAGUAGAACUAAGUCCUCCGGUGGGCUGUACAUAGAGAACUAUCACUGGAUGCUGAUUGCCAUUUUCAUCAAUUAGUGAUUUCAGUUUGAUGUAUACUUUGUCCACGACAUCGUUGAACUAGUGCAACUUUUACUUUUUGCACGUAAUAUUUCGAUUAUCUGCCUAAGUGUUGAAUGUAAUAAAUCAGCUUAGCAUCUUCUUGUCCAUUGAAAUUCUCUAGAUAGGAGAGCUCAAGAAACUGGUUGAAGAGGGUAAAAUAAAGUAUAUAGGUCUGUCUGAGGCCUCAGCUUCAACAAUUCGAAGAGCACAUGCUGUUCAUCCAAUAACAGCUGUACAGUUGGAGUGGUCAUUGUGGACCAGAGAUGUCGAGGAAGAGAUUAUUCCCACUUGCAGGUAGUGCAUAUAUUCUGCUGCAUUUUCUACAUGGUCUAGAAGAAAUAUUAAGUUCUCAAUUCAGUUUUUGGUAUAAUCUUUCAGAGAGCUUGGCAUAGGGAUUGUUGCAUACAGUCCACUUGGACGAGGUUUCUUCUCAUCAGGUCCAAAGCUGAUUGAGAAUUUGGCUGAAGGUGACUACCGAAAGGUUUGUGCAUAUCGAAAAAGAUGGAGUUUUUGAGUAUACAUUGUUUAUAGUUCGAAUAAGUUUCUCACUCAUCUAUUUUUACCACAUUCAGUGGCAAUCAUGCUUGAUAUCAAAAGAGGAAGAAACUAUGUCACUUUUUAAGUAAAAGUCUCUUUACGGUUUUGAAGGGAAAAGGACCUUAGACUUCAAUUUCAUCAUUUAAUCUCAGGCACAGAACUUAUGCUGUCCUGUGAAACUAUCAUUUUUCCUUUACCAUUAAUCCUAAAACUGAGUUUCAUUGGUCAGAAAUAUACUUCAUAGUAGUACCUCCUCUAGCGUUCAUCGUAGUACCUCCAUCGUUCAAACAAACAAAAAUUAGUUGAUUUGUAUUUUAAGUUUCCUCUUUGAUGGGAAAUGUAUCUCAGAACUUAACUCCAACGGUUGAUGCUUCCUCCGUGGAGUAUUCAGUCGAACUUGAUGCAUUGUUCUUUCCCCUGAACUUGUGCCCUUCAAACAGUAUUUCUGAUCAUCUUGAAGUAAUUAGUACCGUCUGUUCAUUACUCCCUCCCGAUUUCUUGCAUUAUAGCUUCCUCUUUAAUGGGAAAUGUAUCUCAGGAUCUACAUUCUACAAUUGAGGUUUCUUAGAGUACUCAGUCCACCUUACUGGAUUGUUCCUUCCCCUGAACUUUGUACACCUUAAACAAUACUAUCGAUCAUUUUGAAGUUAUUCAUAUUGUCUUCAUUUGUAGAUGACACAUGCUUUGCUCCCUUUUGAAUUUCUGGCAUUACAGUUGCUUAAAUUUUGAAAUUCAUACAAUGUAGGAUAUGCCAAGGUUUCAAGCAGAGAAUUUGGAGCAGAACAAGAACUUGUAUGAGCGGGUCAAUGCCAUUGCUUCAAGGAAGGGUUGUACUCCAUCACAGCUAGCAUUGGCCUGGGUCCAUCACCAAGGCAAUGAUGUUUGCCCCAUACCUGGCACUACCAAGAUUGAGAACCUCAAUCAGAAUAUAGGAGCUUUGUCUGUAAAACUGUCAGCAGAGGAAAUGGCGGAACUUGAAUCUUUUGCUUCUGCGGGAGUCAAGGGUGAUAGGUAUGGGCCUGGCCUUGGUACUUGGCAAACUUCUGAAACUCCACCUUUGUCAACCUGGAAGAGAACAUGAAGACAUACUUUGUUAUUGCAAUAAUUCCUUCUAGCUAUGUGCCUGAUGGUGGAUUCCACUAUAUUAAGAGUUGAGUGAUAUGUAUUUGUUCCAAUAAAGUUUGACAUACUAUUGUCUCUAGGGUUAAGGCAAGUAAAGUUAUAAGAAGAAUGGAGUUUCUUCAGAGGUUGUAAUGAAUAAAUAUCUGGUCAUGUAAAAGCAGAAUAUAAUUUUCCUUGCAGUUGAAUGCAUUAAAGGUUAUAUAUUGUACUUUUGAAUGCUAUAGUGGUCCAUUUUUUAUGUGCUACUGCUACGAGAGUUAUAGAUUGUCGAACAGCAUUCAAUUCAGGACUUAUUAAACAUAAGCAUAUAAACAUUUUAUGCUCGGAAUAUUUACAUCAAAAGAAACUCCAAGGUCACAUCAUUGUAAAGUGUAAACUACAUCAUAUUAAUAAAAAGCAAAAAAAAAGGUCUAAAUGAGGAAAAAAAUGUACUAUAGAAGAAGUCAACAAUGUCAUGUAAUCAUUUUAUCCUAAAAUUGAGAUUCAAAUUUAGUUGAUUUGUAUUUUGAGUUUCCUCUUUGAUGGGAAAUGUAUCUCAGAACUUUAACUCCAACAGUUGAUGUUUCCUACUUGGAGUACUCAGUCCACCUUGAUGCAUUGAUCUUUCCCCUGAACUUGUGCCCGUCAAACAAUAUUUCUGAUCAUCUUGAAGUAAUUAGUACCAUCUGUUCAUUACUCCCUUUUGAUUUCUUGCAUUAUAGUUUCCUCUUUAAUGGGAAAUGUAUGUCAAGAUCUACCUUCUACAAUUGAGAUUUCUUAGAGUACUCAGUCCACCUUACUAGAUUGUUCUUUUCCGUGAACUUUGUUCACUUCAAACAUUACUAUGAUCAUCUUGAAGUUAUUCGUAUUGUUGUCUUUUGUAGACGACACAUGCUUUACUAAUUACUGCACUUUGAAUUUCUGCAUUGCAGUUGCUUAAAUUUUGAAAUUCAUACAAUUUAGAAUAUGCCAAGGUUUCAAGUAGAGAAUUUGGAGCACAACAAGAAGUUGUAUGAGCGGGGUCAAUGCCAUUGCUUCAAGGAAGAGUUGUACUCCAUCACAGCAAGCGUUGGCCUGGGUCCAUACCAAGGCAAUGAUGUUUGUCCCAUAACUAGCACUACCAAGAUUGGAAACCUCAAUCAGAAUAUAGGAGCUUUGUCUGUAAAACUGUCAGCAGAAGAUAUGGCUGAACUUGAAUCUAUUGCAUCAGCUAGAGUCAAGGGUGAUAGAUAUGAUCCUGGCCGUAUCAAGGGCAGAGGUUAUGGGAUCUGAUUAUGGGCAACUGAUUAUGGAAUCUAUUCUAUCAUAAUUGCAAAGAUUAUGACUGAAAUUAUGGGAUCUGCUCUAUCAUGUAUAUUAGCUGUAUAUUAGCAUAUGUGUCAUUAAUAUAUCAGAUAGGUAGAUAUAUUCUUACAUAGAAUAGAAUGUACAGAGUUUCUAUUUAAUGGAAAAGAUGCACAAAAGACAGCAUUCAGUCUUUGAUCUAGAAAAUUGUCAUGGUAUCAGAGCUGGUUAUUUGAAUUUCUGUGUCUUUCAAAAUUUGCUGAGUUGUUAUUCUUCUUGGGUUGAUUAUUUUGAUCAAUCAUUUGGUUUCAAGAUAUCAUUUUGGGUCAAUCAUAUUGUGGUUGGCAGCCUUUCUUGUAAUUCAGAUCUUUGUUUUUUUGAAAGUAUGUCUGUGGCAAACUCUUUGGGAAAAACACAUACGGAAUCUUUGUCUAUCAAGUUCAUUGGGAAAAAUUAUGCAGCAUGGGAUUUAGAAUGUUUCUAAAGGCAAAGAGCUUUGGAGUCAUAUUGAUGGGUCUUCUACAGAACCUAGAGAUGGAAAAGAAUUUAGUCAAUGGGAGGCAAAGGAUGCUAGAAUUAUUUCUUGGAUUCUAGCAUCUAUUGAAGCUCAUAUGGUGAAUAAUUUACACUCCUUUAAUACAGCAAAGGAGAUGUAGGAUCAUUUGAAGCGUGUAUAUCAUCAAGAUAAUACAGCAAGAAGAUUUCAACUUGAAUUGGAAAUUAGUAACUACGGCCAAGAUAACCUCUCUAUUAAGCAGUAUUAUUCUGGAUUUUUUAAUUUAUGGAGCGAAUACUCUGGUAUAAUCUAUUCUAAGGUACCAAGCGAAGCCUUAGCUGGUAUUCAAGCAGUUCAUGAAGUUAGUAAGCGUGACCAGUUUCUAAUGAAACUAAAGCUUGAAUUUGAAGCGGUCAGAGCUGGAUUGUUAAAUAGAAAUCCAAUUCCUUCUUUAGAUGUAUGUCUUGGUGACUUGUUGCAAGAAGAACUGAGAAUGGCUACACAAACUAUCAUAGGUGCAUCGAAGGAGAUAUCCGAAGUUGUCAAUAUUGCCUAUGCUGCUCAAGGGAGGAAUCGCGAAAAGGGACAAGUACAGUGCUUAAAAGCAGUCUGUUUGCCAGACACAUGGUGAGCCACAUUUAAAAAUUGGUUUCUAUCAUAAAGCCUAUCAUGUCCGGACAGAAGAUGGACUGUUUUUUAAAUUUUUUAUGAAAGCAAGUGAAAAGUGUUGCAACUCAGGACUUGGAUGGUAAUUCUAAAAUUUAUUAGUGCACCUACCUUUUAACUUUUGGUGUGCUUUUAAGGUAUCAAAUGGGGGAAAAAAAACCAACACCAUAUAACUUCAAAUGCAAGAUGGUACGAAAUUUGUAUCCAUUGACAUGUAAAAAGUGCACCGUUCAUCACAAAGAUAUUUAUCCUAAUAUUAGAUUCAUUUUUUCAAAAAUUCAACUUUGCAUGCAAACAUGUAAUCAAUAUGCAUAAAUAGAUAGCAUUAGAUGAAUUUAAACAAGUAGCCUUCAAAUUUAAAAAUAUUUGAUUUCAUAAAGGUGCAUUCGCAAUUUAGAAAAAGGACUUUUCAAAUGGCAAAUCUAGAGAGCAAUAAAUACUCCUACUUUAUUUUGAUUUCAAAUCUUAUUUUGACUUGUCAAAAAAGUGAAACACGAAACCAAUAAUGGGUCAGAUACAAGGCUAAUUACUCAGAAUAUCGAUGUAAAAAAUAUUGGACAUAUAUGAUUUUGACAAUGGGCAUGUAUAAAACUAUUGCUGUAAGGUUGUGUCAGCCCGGCAGCAAAAGAGGGUUUUUUUUUAAAGCCUGCCAUUGCCACCGAGCUGACACGGCUCGGCAGCAAUAGUUUAAUUUUUUUUAAACGCUGCCGGGCCUUGUCAGCCAGAUAGAACAAAAAAAAAAAAUUUUUUUUUAAACACAGCCCGGCAGCGGGCAACAUUUGCAAAAAACUUUAAAAAGCUGGCUGCCGGGCUACGACAGUUCAAAAGAUUUUGCUAUCCGCCUACAACACCAGGUGAUAAAGAUAAGGGCAAAGGCGUACCGGGCAUUGAUAUGAUCAUUUCCGGUGCAUGUUUUAAAAUUUCAAAUAUUUGAAUAUGGGGAUUUAGCGUUAUUUUAAUCUUUUAUUAUUAUAAUGCUUGUCGUUAUUUUUAAAUUUCACAAUUUCAGCAUGUCAUGUUGUGCAUUUUUCCUUCUUUUUUUUUUUGCCUAUUUUGUUUUUAUAUUGCACAAUAACUUUAUAUUUAUAAAAUUAUAUUGUACAUUAAAAAUUACAUAAUAAUUUUAACAAACAAUUUUCCGGUACAAUUUGAAAACUGCAUCUUAUUGUAAAAUGAAAGAGAUUUUUUGUUUAAAAAACCUUUUUUUAGUUUUUUUACCUAUCGGAGUAAUUAUUAAUUUUACAAAUCUGUUUUCAUCUUUUUCUUACGUUCCAACUUUGAAACGUAAUUUAAUUAACUUAAAAGACUGUCGGGUUUAGUAUGUCAGGUAUCACACUUGUUGUAAUUAAAAAAAAAUUUUCUUCUUAUUUUUCAUUUUUUGUUUUUAUAUUGCAAAAUAAAUUUAUACAUUUUUUCGAUUUUUCUAUACAAUUUAUAACAAAAAAAAUAAUAUCAAAUAUUAUACAUUGUAAUUUUAACAAUUAUUUUGCAACGGUUUAAAAAACCUUUUUUUAGUUUAACAUCCUAUAUAUUUUACGAAAAUGAUUUGAAUAUUUUUUAAUCAUUUAAAGAAAAGAUAGAUUUCUACAAUUACUAUUUUUUAAAUUUUAAUCCUUAAGAUAAAGAUUUUUGCGGGAAAGAUGAAGAUUUAAAGAAACAAUAAAGAGGCAAAGAAAAUAAAAGAGAAAAAUAGGAGAGGUAAUUUUGUCCAAUGGAGGAUAUAAUGAGACAGAAAAAUUCCGAUGAGGGAUAAAGUAAAAAAAGAGAUAUAUUUUAAGGACAUUAAUUGUGAUUAACCCUAUUUCUUAUGCUCAAUUUGUAACUGGUCCAAAGCAUCAAAAGUAGCGUCCGCCUCCCAGGUGAUGAAUUCAUGGUCUUGAAUGUCCAAUAACCUAAGAAGAGUAAAAAGAUCACUUUAAAGUUGCUCCACACCCUACAAAUGCUUCUGAUACUAACUUUCUCGUCAUAUUAACAAAUGCUCCGCACCUUAAUGCUUCAGCACCCGUAAAAAACGUGUUUUUGCAACUGGUCCAAGAGUUGAACCCUUCGCUCAGAGUUACUUCUGGAUGUUGAAAAAAACAUUUCGAUCACUUGAAUCUAACCUCCCGCGUCUAAUCAAGCCAGAAGGCCAGCUUUUUUUUCACUGACCCUUCAACGUGAACCUUCUGAGAACUUAUCUCAAGGGAAACUUUUAGUGGUUCAGUAGAAUUUUUUUUAAUCCUCUUACAUGUUUCAUUCGUAUCUCCUACUUCAUGUCCGUGCAUUGUUGAAUUCUGAAGUGCAGGUCUUCUUUCGCCCGUAUUGUUAACCUUCUUUUUCAUGUUCAUUGAAGCACAGCAUUCUUUUUUCAGGUUUGAAAUUUUUUUUUUAAAUUGGACUAGCUGCUGGACUGAGCUUUUUAAAGUUUUUUGCAGAUGUGCGUCAGCCCGGCAGCCAGCGAAUUAAGAAAAAAAAAAAUUUUUUUGAGGCCCGGCAGCGUUUAAAAAAAAAAAACUAUUGCUACCGGGCAAGCUUUAAAAAAAAAAAAAAAAAAACCCUAACAGCAAUAUUUUUAUACAUGCCCAUUGUCAGAACCAUAUAUGUCCAAUUUUUUUUUCAUCGAUAUUCUGAGUAAUUAGCUGAGAUAGAGAGGAGUAUUAGAAAUUUGUUUUCUAGAUUCUUUGGUCUCCCAAUUUUUUCAACGGGUCAACUCCGAUCAUUAUUAUCACAGUCAUGUGAUUGUAGGUCUACCACGCUUCAUAGUCCACAACGUGGAUUGGCACCACAAAGGAUGGUUUCAAAACACCAUUUUAGUCUAGUAAGGAUUGUGUAUAUAACACAAGUCUUUUUAGGUUUUCCCUCCCCUGUAAUCUAAAAUAAAAUAAAAUAGGUUAUACAAUUGUUAUAGUCUUCAGAAAAAAAGGAUAGGUCCCACCCUAUUAUUAUUAUUUUUCUUUUAUAAAUCAACAACGCCUAUUCUACACCUAUUUCAACUUCUAUUCUAGGGGAACGGGAGGUUCAACUGAAAAAUUAAUGGUGAUUGAACCACGAACGGACCAAAAACUUUCAAGAUAAAAUUUGAUCUAAAAAAUAAAUAAUAAUAUAUUAACUUAUUAUUUAAUGCGAUACAUAUUCAAAUAUAUUAAAUUUAAUAAUUUAAUAAAUUUUAAAUUUUACAUUUUAAAUUUUAAUUUUCAACCUUCAAUGUUGCCGUACUUACAACAACAACUUCUAGAUGGUCAACACUUAGAGUCGUAGCCCUUGCUUUUGGCAUACCCUAGUCCCUAUUUCUGUUGUUAUCAAUGAGGAAGCAAAUGUCUGCUAUUAAUUACACGAGACAUCAGUAGGUUUGUUUGGAUUGGAGGUUAUUUGAAAUAUUUUUUUGAGAUAAUUAAUGUAGUACUUUUUGUGAUGUAAUGUAUAUAAGAUAAAAUUGUGAUUGGAAAUUGUGUGGAUGCAAAACAAAAUUUUGAAAUUUUUUUUUGAAAACCUUAAUAUUAUUGGCUGCACUACAAAUCAGUCAAAACUCAAGAGAUGAUAUUAAUUGAAACAAGUGGGCAAAUUGAACGAGGAUGCGUAAUUGACAUGGAAGUCUUGGUAGACUUGGAGGUAGGCUUGUCAACGGAUUGGGUCUGGGUCGGAAUUCAUUAUUCUGGACCCGGAUCCGACAUACUAUAUUGGACUCGGAUUCGACCCAUUUAUUCGACGGGCCUUCUACUCUAUAUUCUGAAUCCGGAUCCGACGGGUCUCGGAUUCGGGUCGAGUCUACCCGAAAAAAUCUAUCAAAACUUACAAAUUCUAAUAAAAAUGAGAAAAAAAUAUAUUUGUAAACCAAUUUUUAACUAAUAAAAAAAAUCAAAUAAGAAAAAAAAUCAAAUUGACUUUACUCAAAUACAUCACCCUAAUCAAAUUAUAUUGAUAAAUAUAUAUAUAUUUAAAUUGUUAAUCCAUUUAUAUCCGAAUCCGGGUCUAAUACGGGUCGAAAUAUUAUAUUCCGUAUUCGACCCGUUUUUUGUUUGAUAAAACGGAUCCGGAUCCGGGGUCCGAGUAAUGGAAUUAAAUCCCUACUCGUACCCACAAUAAUUUGACGGAUUCGAUCCGGAUCCGGAUCUAGACUCGAACUGUUGACAGGCCUACUUGGAGGGAUCAACAUUUGAAUCUGACUUGGAUGAGGUAAGCACAAAGGUAAGCAUUUUCCAUUUUUAUUUUGGUUUUCAUUUCUUGUAUACUUUAAAACGUUUUUCAUUCUACCUCACUCACAUAUAAUAUAUAAUGAAAUGUAAAUUUUUUAUGAAAACAUAUAAAAUAUAUAAAAUGAAAAAUAAAUUUUUUAUAAAAACAUAUGUUUAUAUUUUUCUUUGUAUAAUGAAAAUUUAUAAUUCAUUCUACCAAUAUAUACGCAUAUAUAUAUAUAUAUAUAUAUGUAUAAUGAAAAAUAAAUUUCUUCUUCAUCUUUAGGGCUGCACCUACAAACAACAAAACUCAGCUCCACUCAACUCUUUCCUUCAUGUUUUUUUAUAAAAAACAUAUAUAUAUAUAUAUAUAUAUAUAUAUAUAUAUAUAUAUAUAUUAAGUUACACUAAUUGUUUUAUCUCUUAAUAAUUUUUAUUUUUUUUACUAAUAUUACCUCAUGAGAGGCAAAAAGGGUAUAAAUGGAACAAAAUUAUUAUCUCAUUUUCCAAAAGAAUUUUUUAAUGGUACUUUUUCUAACAUGGGUUGAAGCUACUAUCAAAAUCUAGUUUAGGGAAAGUUAGUGCUAUUUUUUAAAUUUUAGGGUAGAUGAGUACAACUGUUAGAAACCUCAAAAAGGGAUGGUUUCUGCAAUUAUCCCUAAAAGCAUAGACCAAGACUACACUAAACACUAAAAAUUUGACACCUAUUUCUUAUAACUAUACUAGAUAAUCUCAUAAUUAUAUAGAAAAAUAAAUCAAAAUUCAUUACACAAAAGCAUUUUUGGAUAUUUAUUUAAGAAUUUGAUCAAAUUAAUAUUAUUUUAAAGUUUUAUUACAAAAACUAUCAAAUUAAAGGAGGUAGGGGUAAUGUUUCAAACCUCACAGUGAAAUUGUUAGAAACCUCAAAGAGGUUCUUGAUAUUAUCCCUAAUUUUUUUGGGUACAAAAACCUCCAAAAAAGUGGCAGUUCAAACGGGGCCAACAUUCUCCUAUCAUCACAAGUCCUCCCGCUGACCCACUAGCCGCCGGCGGCCCUGGGUCAUCUAUUAAAGGCUUAAAGCAUAGACCAAGACUGCAGUAAUCCCUCAUAUACACAUGUUAACUAGAGGGGUCAAUCACAACCCAAUUAUAUUGAUCUGUUCAAACCCGUUCACUAAUAAUCCUUUCAAAUUCGCCCAUUAAAAUUUAAAUGGGUCUAAGUGAGUACCUAAUUAAACCCAUUUAAUUGAUGGAUAGUUGAUUGAUUCAACUCACCCAUUUAUACCCAUUUAAAAAUAAAUAUAUGACAGGGUGUCGAGCCUGUGCAAUAAUAAUUAUCUACUCAAGAAAAACACAAAUUCUGUAUAUAGCAGUGAGUAGAGUCGAAUCCACACGGACUGUAGAUAAUUCGUUUCUUUUAGAGUCCAAAGUAUGGGGGGUUUUGGAGAAUAUAAAAUAACUAAUUAACUAACUAAUAAAACAACUAAUAGAAAUAAAUAGAAAUUAAUCAAUAACCAAUAUGACUCUAGCCAAAGGUGCAACUUUUCAGACACGGUCCAUUCAACUGAUCAUCGAUGCAAAGAUAAUUCAAUUACUCAUUACUAGAUUGGUUAUAAUUGUCAUACACGCGAUGAACAACCAGCCUUUUCUUAAUUUCUCGAUAGUUAAAGUACGACCGUUAACUAUUUCUCUAACCAAGUAAUAACCCUAGGUACGACCAUAGGAUUUAAUUACUCGAUUACAUUAAUAAUUAGAAAAACCCAACCCUAACCAACAAACACGCUACGAGGGUUUGUUUAAAUUAGAUCAUACGUUUCCCUAACAUGAAACCAAUCACGCUAGUCGCCACUGGUAUUAAUCAAUUGAACAAUUACGGAUUCAAUCAAUUAAUUUAGCAUUAGAUCAUUAAGUUAAUUUGAAUAUCGGGCCCUUGACAUUCAAAUAACAUAACAAACAUAAGCAAUUAAAUCAGGAAACGUAAAAAUACCAAUGAAUAAAAGAAAUAAAUAAAAUUAAUUCGAUCUCACAGAUAUUUGGAACCGCGCCUUCAAAUUGGCCUUCGACUAGAUGAAAGGUUUAGUUCAUCUACAUGGAGGAAACCCCAUGUGAAAUUGCAGAAGUAAUUAUUCUAAAACAAAGCUAUGUUUUCGUCCUCCAUUGAAGAAAACGGCAAAGCUAUAUAUAAAGUAAUGAAUACGAAGGAACUACCUAGAAGCAAAAACAAAACGAAGCUCUCCUAUUCUAAAACAAAAACUACUUGUCUAGUGGUCCCCGCCGAAUUUAGAUAAAAGGGUGCAAUCCGUCAGAUCAAGCUUUGCCGACUUUUUCUCCUCUUUGUUGCCUAUUGCUAGGCAAAGACUUCAGUGCCCAGACCAUUCCUAAUCAGUGAAAAGAAAAUGCACUCCCUCUGCCGCACUCUGUGGGCCAGGUUGUUGAAGCUCUUUGGAGUCUCCUAUGUGUGGAGCUGUUUUAUCCUUCAGAUGGUCUCGCUCUUUUUUUUCUUUUUAUUUUCUUUUGUGUACUUUUCUGCUCCAUUCCUGAAAUGAGAUCCAAAUACCAAAUAUAAAUAUAUAUUAACAAUUAAACAAUAUUUAGUAAGGACAGAGGGGAAAUUAAUAAUAAAAUAAUCAAUAAUUAACACCCUAUCAAUUCCCCCCACACCUAAAUCAUACUUGCCCUCAAGCAUGGGGACGACAAAUAACACCAAAAUUUGAAAAUGGGUAUUGCCCCAUCUACCCUAUUGUCAAGAUACCAAGGAAAACAUCUAUCAAGCAUCAGUGAUCAGGGUUCAAGAAACAUCACCCCAAUUAGCUUCUAAACCACAAACUCCUCCAAUUUAAGACAAACUAAUCUAAGAAAAAGGAAUGGUUGCUCACAUUUAUCAACAAAUGGUCCAACUAUUAACUAAAAUCUCGAUAUUAAGAUCACAAACCGGCAAGCUGACUUAUUCACAUACUAACACAAUCUUUACUUUACUUCUUUUUUUUUUUUUUUUGAAUAACAAAAGACUUAGUCUAUAGCCCUUAGAGCCUUUUGACGCGAACUCCAACAUUUGCCAGAUGGAGAAGCCCGGUUUCUCAGCUCCAAUCGCUACGGGACCACGCACUCAUAGUAACUACUACCUUUUGAGGCGAAAAUCGACACUUUAGGUCAAGAUCCCCGAUCACUCAGUAGUAACCACUAGCGGAGUACAGUCAACUCUUAUUUACAACCAUAUAGCACGAUAACUAAAAAUAACAGCAGGCAGCCUCAAAUUUCCAAACAUGGAGAACUAAAAUUAAUAACUGGACCAAUUCACAUGAAAAAUGCCAACAAUCAUUCCCUAUGCCUAGAAAAGUUAACCAAAAAUUAGAAAAGUCAAGCAAUUACUGAUAUUCACAUGAAAAGUCAAGCAGAAGUAAGCAAAAGAGCAACUGUACUUCCCUGAAAUCACGGGGGGCAUGGCGGGGCCACAGCAGUGGGUGAGGCCGGAAAUGGUUGAUUUGGGUUGGGGUAGGCUAAGGUCGAGAGGUUCCGGACCUAGAAGAGGACUUUGAUCUCACCAUCGUCGCUAACAGGUAACCCAAUCAACAGAAACAAAAUUGCCAACAGAUAGAGGAACAAGUAAAUCUAGAUCAAUAGAAAUCAAUAUCCUCAAGUGAAGUCAACAAUCAACCCAAUAAGCACAGGUAUCUUCCAAUUUAAAAGGGUAGUGCACAAUAAAUGGCCCACCAAAUUUGCAAUGUAAAGCCCUGAGCAAUUCAAUCAAUACCAGAAAAUCGCCCCAAACAAUGUAACAGUUAAACUCCAUGGGCCAUGGACGUCCAACCAAUUUCACUCGAACAAACUAUGAGCAGUGCGAGUGACGAAACAAAGCAACAAAUUUCAGCAAUUAGACACAAUUCCACUCAAAAUCUCAACAAAUAUCUCCAAUGGACAGUCUUACACAACUUAACCAACUGGAAUUAGCAAAUAUCCCCAAGAAACUGACAAAACAAGCAAUAGUAGUUCAAAAUUUGGACUACAACUAAAUCAAAAUGUUGUUUCAGUUUUCAAUCAGGUAGCCAACCAAGUAGAAUCAAUAAAUGUAGACAAAAUACCCCAACCAGUACCACUGGUGUAUUCCACAGAAAAGAAUUAAUUCAAAUGCCAAUCCAAACGACUGAGAAACCCUAACCAAGACCAAACCGUACCAGAAAUUAGAAGAAAUGAAAAUGGGAAUCAAUUGGCAAGCAACUCCCAAAUCAACCCCAAAGAACUCCCAAAUAAAUGAAUUAUCAGAGGUGCCUUCAAAAACCAAAUACCAAAAAUGCAUAAAAACUCCCAACCAAUUCAACGGGAAAAACAAAAUUAAGCAAAUCACCUCCUGUGUUUAUCCAUCAAGGAACCCAAAAGCACAAAUUCCAGUAACUGAGGAUUCAGGAAAAAUGCCAAAACAAGGGUAGAAAGUUAAUACCUCCACCUGUCAAUUUUGACAGGUAGUGAUGCGCGGCAAGGAGGUGGCGCACGAGGUGGUGGCCGCGAGCUUUGGAAGAUGAGUUGGCGAUAGAGGCUGUCAGCUACGCGUGCGACUGUGCGCACAAUGGGAGGAGAGAGGCGCGGCGAGCUGGUGGACAGCAGCAGCGGCACGGGCUGGUGGCAGUGGCUGUGGAGCGUGGGCAGGCGGCGGUGCGCAGCUGGUCAACGAAGGAGGAGAUGGGCGGCGCUCGGGCUAAGGAGAGAGUGAUUUGGGGGCUGUGGCGGCGUGGGGUGGAGUUGCGGCGGCGGUCAAAGGCACUGGUGAGUGGAGGUGGCGGGGAUGGAGCUUGGAACGGAGGAGCUCAGCGAGCUGUGGGUGGACGGCCGUGGGCAGGGGAGCAGCGGCGGCCUUUGGAGCUGCUGAAGGUGGUCCGUGAGGUGGAGCUUGGAGCUCGGAGGCGGCGGCGAUGGAAGCUAGUCAGCGGCGUGCGGCAAUGGAUGAGAAAGGGAGACUGGUGGCGUCGGGCUAAGGAGAGAGUAAGGGAGAUGAUGGCGGAUGAGCGAAAGAAAAGAAGGAAAGGGAUACAGGGCAGCGAGGAAGAAGAGGAAGAAAAGGGAAAGAAAGGAAAGAAAAAAGAGAAGAAAAAGGAAAAAGAAAAGAGAGAAAGAAAAAAAGAAAAUAAAAUGGUUUUGGGGUUUUUUUUUCAAUAUUUUUUUUUCAAUUUUUUCCCUAAUUUAAAUUUUCAAAAUUUGAAUUUUUGAAGAAAAAGAAAGAAAGAAAAAUGCUCUUUGAAUUUUUGAAUUUUCUCAAUGUGAAAUUUUAAAUUUUUUUUUGGUUUUGGAUCGUCAAACACCGCGUGAGCACGCCAAGAUUACACUUCCUGGUCACAGUAGAGGAAAAUAUUAAGACCGACUACCACCCAAAUGAGAAAUGACAAAAUGAAAGUAAUGAACAAUGAAAAACGAUAAAACUAAUAUUUGGGUUGCCUCCCAAAAAGCGCCUUUCUUUUAUGUCUUUGGCCAGACAUUGCCAUAUUUGUUUAGGGAGGAUAAAAUCUUGUACCUCGGUUUAAUGUUUCAUCCUCUAUAUAGUCCUGAUAACCCUCGUAAAUAGAGUAAUUCUUGAACACAUGAGCUACGGUCUUCCCUGGACUAGUAAAUGGUGCCAAACAAGUCAACAAUAAGUUGAAUUUUCCAUUCACUCCUCCAUCACUUGCAUUUAUUGGUUUAAGAUAUCUUGCCAUCGCCACUCUUAAUUUAUUUCUGUCAUGAAAUUCGAAAUUUUCUGAUAUAAUAAAAUCAAUUUCAUUAACAGGAAUUGAAGAAUAAGAGUUAGAAGAAUAUUGAUGAAGGAAUGGAUGCGAUGUCACCGCAUUUGAAGAUUGUUCACUGGUUUCAUUCACUUGAACGAGUUGAUACUGGGGCAUUAUUUCUUGCACUUCACCUUUUUUUUCAACUGCAUCUUUAGAUCCGUUUUCUUGAAACUCUUGCAGUUCCAUGUCAUUUGACGGGAUAACUGCACUCUCAUCCUCUUCAAGGUUGAUAUUGGUUUGUGAGGGCAAUUCUUCAAGGUGAGAAGCUAAUCGCUCUAUCCUGGAUGUCAAUUGAUUCAUUUGAUCCGCCGGAUCCCUAAUGCUCGCUUGUGUCUCCUGAUGAAAUCGAUAUGUAUUAGUAGCAAAUAAUUCAAUCAAUUCCUGAAGAGACAUACCUGACAUGGAUGAUGGCUGUUGAGAUUCUUGCUGUUGAAAAUCCAUUGGCCCGGUCGCAUAAUUAAAAUUGGAAUCAUCCCACCAUCCUUGAUCAUACCCGUUUGAAUAAGGAUCGUACCACGUUUGAAAUCGAGGUGAAAAAUCUCCAAAAGUAUCAAUUGGAGCACUUAGAUUAUCUUGAAAUGCGGGGCAUGUGUCGGUUGAGUAACCUGAGUCAAAAUAAGUUCCACAAUUUGCAACAGUCCAUUGACCAUUAGGAAAAACUCGAGUCUCAUAACCUCAUUCGGGAAUAAAGUCCAGUCUAUCAUCAAAAUAUGGAAUGUUAGCUACCAUAAACUAUAUAUAACAAAAAAGAGAAAAAAAAAAAACAAGAUGAACUAAAAAAAAACAAAUUAAUUAGGCACCAGUCCCCGGCAAUGGCGCCAAAAAUUGACAGGGUGUCGAGCCUGUGCAAUAAUAAUUACCUACUCAAGAAAAACAUAAAUUCUGUAUAUAGCGGUGAGCAGGGUCGAAUCCACAGGGAUUGGAGAUAAUUCGUUUCUUUUAGAGUCCAAAGUAUGGGGGGGGAGUUUUUUGGAGAAUAUAAAAUAACUAAUUAACUAACUAAUAAAACAACUAAUAGAAAUAAAUAGAAAUUAAUCAAUUACCAAUAUGACUCUAGUCAAAAGUGCAACUUUUCAGAUACGGUCCAUUCAACUGAUCAUCGAUGCAAAGAUAAUUCAAUUACUCAUUACUAGAUUGGUUAUAGUUGUCAUACACGUGAUGAACAACCAGCCUUUUCUUAAUUUCUCGAUAGUUAAGGUACGACCGUUAACUAUUUUUCUAACCAAGUAAUAACCCUAGGUACGACCAUAGGAUUUAAUUACUCGAUUGCGUUAAUAAUUAGAAAAGCCCAACUCUAACCAACAAACACGCUACGAGGGUUUGUUUAAGUUAGAUCAUACGUUUCCCUAACAUGAAACCAAUCACGCUAGUCGCCACUGGUAUUAAUCAAUUGAACAAUUACGGAUUCAAUCAAUUAAUUUAGAAUUAGAUCAUUAAGUUAAUUCGAAUAUCGGGCCCUUGACAUUCAAAUAACAUAACAAACAUAAGCAAUUAAAUCAGGAAACGUACAAAUACCAAUGAAUAAAAGAAAUAAAUAAAAUUAAUUCGAUCUCACAGAUAUUUGGAACCGCGUCUUCAAAUUGACUUUCGACUAGAUAAAAGGCUUAGUUCAUCUACAUGGAGGAAACUCCAUGCGAAAUUGUAUAAGUAAUUAUUCUAAACAAAGCUAUGUUUUCGUCCUCCAUAGAAGAAAACGGCAAAGCUAUAUAUAAAGUAAUGAAUACGAAGGAACUACCUAGAAGCAAAAACAAAACGAAGCUCUCCUAUUCUAAAACAAAAACUACUUGUCUAGUGGUCCCCGCCGAAUUUAGAUAAAAAGGUGCAAUCUGUCAGAUCAAGCUCUGCCGACUUUUUCUCCUCUUAGUUGCCUAUUGCUAGGCAAAGACUUCAGUGCCCAGACCAUUCCUAAUCAGUGGAAAGAAAAUGCACUCCCUCUGCUGCACUCUGUGGGCUAGGUUGUUGAAGCUCUUUGGAGUCUCCCAUGUGUGGAGCUGUUUUAUCCUUCAGAUGGUCUCCCUCUUUUUUUUCUUUUUAUUUUCUUUUGUAUACUUUUCUGCUCCAUUCCUGAAAUGAGAUUCAAAUACUAAAUAUAAAUAUAUAUUAACAAUUAAACAAUAUUUAGUAAGGAUAGAGAGAAAAUUAAUAAUAAAAUAAUCAAUAAUUAACACCCUAUCAAUAUACAUUUAAGCUCAAUUUUUACUAAGUGUUAAGAUGAUAAAUUUGAAUUUCCUAUGACUCUAAUAACAAUAAAAUAUCAUUUUUCUUGUCAAACAACAUGCAAAAAACAAAAAAAGGUAGAAUUUCAAAUUAAUCAUAAAUGGGUAAUUGAGUAUUCUCAUGUCUAUUUGUUAAAUUGAUAUAAAUGAAUUGAUUCAAUUAUAACUAUUACUCAACUAGAAUCCGCUCAAACCCGUUUAAGUUAAUCAUUUUGACACCCCUAAUGUUAAUAUAUAUUGACAAGUGAAAAGUGCAGCAUUUAUCACGAAGAUAUACUUAUUUAUUUUAAUAUUAAAGUCAUUUUUUCAUUACAAAAAUAUUGAUAAUUUCAUAAUUUCAUGGAAGUAUGUAACCAGUGACAUAACAUAGUCGCCAGUGGCGAAUCUUGUCACGAGCCUUCUUUUCAACGCUUUGAUUAUGGCAUACACCUUUAACAAUAUGCCCCCACGUUGUCUUUCGAUCACUUUUUUUUUUUUUUUUAACCUCACAUUCGUUCGUUAUGUAUGUAUAAUUUCUUUACAAAAAAGUGAAAAACUCCAAAAACGUGGCAGCUCAAACGGGGCCAACAAUCUACUAUGUUCGCCUGUUCUCCCGCCGGACCCACCAGCCGCCGGCGGCCAUGGGUCAUCUAUAAAAGCAUAGAUCAAGACUACACUAAUCCCUCAUCAGUCCAAUCCAUCCAUACUUCUUCUUCAGGCCUCAGCUACUAAACAAUAAACUCUGCUCCACUCAAUUCUUUCCUCUGUUUCUUGUGGUUUUUGUCUGAAAAUGGCGGCAUCAGAAGAAGUGAAAGUGCCAAGAAUCAAGCUGGGGUCGCAAGGUUUUGAAGUUUCAGCUCAAGGGCUGGGCUGCAUGGGCAUGUCAGCCUUCUACGGGCCGCCAAAGCCCGAGCCUGAUAUGAUCAAACUCAUUCACCAUGCUAUUAGCAGAGGCAUCACCCAUCUUGACACCUCCGAUAUGUAUGGACCUCACACCAACGAAAUACUCAUUGGCAAGGUACCGUAUUUGCAAAUUUUCUGCUGUUGUGUGCUAUGCAUAAACUCUUGUACUUCUAAUUUCUAAAAGAGCAUAUUUGUAAGUAUUUUAUUUGGGUAUAUUAUAUUUAACCCCCUGCACUUGAAAUCUUGUCUCCCUUUGUGCCCCCUUAAUUUUGUUUGUCAGCACUUAAACUCCAUCUGUUUAAAUUAUAAGUAUUAUUAGUCAAAUAAGACAAUAAUAUUCUUCAUUUCUUCUUCUUCUUCUUCUUCUUCUUCAUUUUUUCAGAUGUUUGUCCUCAAUUGUAAGAGAAGGUCGUAGGUCUAGCACAUACGUUGAGUAGCUGUAUCCGAUUAGAAGGAUUUAGAUCAUAAUGGAGUUGGUAAAAUAGUACUAUUUUCGUCUUUGAAGUUAAAAUUGUCAUCAAUUUAUGGAAAGUUUACUAUUUCUCUGAUAAGAGAUGGUAAAAUUUACUUUUUACGAGUACUAAAGUUUUAAAGAUUAUGAAAAGAGAAUUGUACGAAUGAAUAUAAGGGAAAAGAAAGGUAAGAACAUAAAUAGAUUGUGUUUGGAUUGAUUUUGGGAGGGGCAAGGAGAGGAAAGGGAAAGAAAAGGAAAUGGAUGGAUUGUGUUUUGCUCAGACAUCAUUUCCAUACAAAAGUAGACGGAAACAGAGGGAAAGAAAAUCUAGUUGAUGAUUUUCUUAUAAAAUGCCUCAAGCACCCAAAUUUUACAUAAACUUGAGUAACCAUGUGUUUCAUAUCUGUAGAACUUGCCAUUUGUGAAACCUGCUUUAGAUAUGAAUUGUGGGAUGCAACAGCAGGCUAGGAAUGUUUGACUAAGCAACUUAUGUAAAUAUUUUAUCGUUAAGUGAAGUUCCUCUUUUGCUGUUUAAAAAAAAAAAAAAAAAAGAGAGAGAAAAACCAUUCCUUUAAUGUCUGUCAUUCUACCAAACAGCAGAUUUAGGAUUUCUUUUUUUCCCAUCCAUAUCUAAUCCAAAUAAGGCAAAUGAGAACUAUUUUCCACUACUCUCCUUUCCUUUCUUUUUCACUAGGAUGUUUUAUUUAUUCUUUCCUUUGAUCCUAAUGGUUCCUAAAAGGGCACUAAUUAUUCUACAUUGAUCGUUCCCCAUAUUUGUAUUAAUGUGCAUGUUCACGAUUCUGUGUACGUUCAUGUUGUGCAUCAAAUCUUGUGAAUGUCAAAGCUAAGAUUGUAAAUUUAAGUUGAAGAAACAUAAAAGAAAAAAGAAAAUGGAUUGGCUCCUUUAAGAGUAUCAGACUUCUAAACCCCAAGGAUUACAUAAUUUUCAUAUCCUUUGCUAUACAAAGAAGUGGCAUAGCCUUAACAAUGAAGUGCUGGAAAAACUCCAGAAGGACUGUGCCAUCCAUGAAAUCACAAUUCCGCUUGCUAUACCAUGCAUUAAUGUGUAUGCCCUUGAUGAUUAAUAUAAUGAAAUCAUGGUUCUAGGCCUUGAAGGAAGGAAUAAGAGCGAAAGUGGAGCUAGCAACAAAAUUUGCAAUCAGUUAUCAGGAUGGGAAAUUUGAUGUACGUGGUGAUCCAGCCUAUGUGAGGGCUUGUUGUGAAGCGAGUUUGAAGCGGCUUGAUGUGGACUGCAUUGAUCUCUAUUAUCAACAUCGCAUUGAUACACGUGUGCCCAUUGAAGUCACGGUUUGCUCGUCUUGCCUUUCUUGUAUUUUAGCUCCACCUCAUUCUUGAUGAAACAAAAGUUUGAUCAACUCCAAAUUUCGAAUAAUUCAGUUUCAUGUGCGUUUCAAUUCUUCAAAAAUUGCACAGAAAAGUUAGUCAACCUUAUGGUCUAGGCUAAUCUGCAGUAUGCUAAAUCUUAUUUAGCACCAGGCACCCUGAAAAGUGAAAACAAUGAAAAUGUCUUAUAUUAGCUUGGCAGUCCUGCUGAGGGAUAUACAGGUGGAUAUCAUGCUAUACAUUGUACAGCUUUCCUUUAGAAGCAAGAGACCUGAGCAUUCUCUUUCAUUUGAGAUAGGCUAUCCAGUUGAGUAAUGAUAUGCUAUUUACUUACCUUGUCAUUCGUUUUCAGUCGGUGCCAAAAGCACUGCAGAUAGAAGUUUUUUAGUCAAUAUCUAAAAAACGUGGUACUCAUUUUGUUCAGAGUAUAGCUUUUUGUCUAAUUGUGAAAGCCAGCUGCGACUACCCCGUUGACCUCUCUAAGCAAUUCAAAGAUUGCAGCUGCUUGCUUACAUUCAGCUUUUAUGAAAACAAUUUCUGUCUUCUUUUUCUAAUAUAGUCAGCAAAGAAUUGUCUUGUUUUUCCUGAGUAUUAGGAAGAAACUUUCUUGCAGUUUAAUCACUCAAAAUACAGGCAAGUAUAAAGGAAAUCAAGGAAAUCGACAACUGAUAAUUGAUAUGUGCAGCCAUUAUUAUAUCUAGACGAAGUCAACAAUGUCGUGUAAUCAUAUUGGAGGAGCAUUAUGUUGGCAUGGUCCAAUAGAGCUAAGUCAUCCGGUGGGCUGUACAUAGAGAAGUAUCACUGGAUGCUUAUUGCCAUUUUUGUCAAUUAUUGAUUUCAGUUUGACGUAUAAUUUGUCCACGACUUCAUUGAACUAGUCCAACUUUUACUUUUUUGCACGUAAUAUUUCGAUUAUCUGCCUAAGUAUUGAAUGUAAUAAAUCAGCUUUGCAUUUUCUUGUCCAUUGAAAUUCUCUAGAUAGGAGAGCUCAAGAAACUGGUUGAAGAGGGUAAAAUAAAGUAUAUAGGUCUGUCUGAGGCCUCAGCUUCAACAAUUCGAAGAGCACAUGCUGUUCAUCCAAUAACAGCGGUACAGUUGGAGUGGUCAUUGUGGGCCAGAGAUGUCGAGGAAGAGAUUAUUCCCACUUGCAGGUAGUGCAUAUAUUCUGCUGCAUUUUCUACGUGGUCUAGAAGAAAUAUGAAGUUCUUAAUUCAGUUUUUGGUAUAAUCUUUCAGAGAGCUUGGAAUAGGGAUUGUUGCAUACAGUCCACUUGGAAGAGGAUUCUUCUCUUCAGGUCCAAAGCUGGUCGAGAAUUUGGCUGAAGGUGACUGCCGAAAGGUUUGUGCAUAUCCAAAACUAUGAAGUUUUUGAGUAUAGAUUGUUUAUAGUUCGAAUAAGUUUCUCACUCAUCUACUUUUACCACUUCAGUGACAAUCUUGCUUGAUAUCCCUAUUCUUGUCUAUCUGUCAUAUGUUGCUGCACUUUUUGAUGUCCAAUAAUUUGAUUAAGCCUUAUAAUAUGAUCACAUUUAAUCAAAUUUCUAUUAAGCAGAGCAAAUCAACAGGCUUUUUUUUUUCCUGUCGAACAAGUCUUGAGGUCUUUAGUUGAUUAAAUGAAUGCAGAUUUUGGUGUCCUCUGUAUUUAGUUCAAAUUAAAAGAUAUAGCGCUAGCUUUGUCAAAUUUUAGAUCUUAUAUUAAUUGAAGGUUGUUAUUGCAUGCUGGAGAUUUAUAUAGUGGACAACAAUCACAAGCAAUCGAUAGUAUCGAAUUUUAAAGUGCAAAGAUGUCGCAAGACAUCAAAACAGGAAGAAACUAUGUCACUUUUUAUGUAAAAGUCUCUUUUCAGUUUUGAGGGGAAAUGGACCUUGGACUUCAAUUUCAUCAUUUAGUCUCAGGCACAGAAUUUCAUCAUUUUGUCCUGUGAAACUAUCAUUUUUCCUUUACCAUUAAUCCUAAAACUGAGUUUCAUUGGUCAGAAGUGUACUUCUUAGUACAAACAUUAGUUGAUAUGCAUUUUAAGGUUCCCCUUUGAUGGGAAAUGUAUCUCAGAACUUAACUCCAACAGUUGAUGUUUCCUACUUGGAUUAUUCAGUCCACCUUGAUGCAUUGUUCUUUGCCCUGAACUUGUGUCCUUCAAACAAUAUUGCUGAUCAUCUUGAAGUAAUGUACCGUUUGUUCAUUUCUCCCUUCUGAUUUCUUGCAUUAUAGUUUCCUCUUUAAUGGGAAAUGUAUCUCAUGAUCUACCUUCUACAAUUAAUGUUUCUUAAGAGUACUCAGUCCACCUUACUGGAUUGUUCCUUCCCCUGAACUUUUUACACCUUAAACAAUACUAUCAAUCAUCUUGAAGUUAUUCAUAUUGUCUUCAUACCUAUCACCCUUUACAGUUGCUUGAAUUUUUGAAAUUCAUACAAUGUAGGAUAUGCCAAGGUUUCAAGCAGAGAAUUUGGAGCACAACAAGAAGUUGUAUGAGCGGGCCAAUGCCAUUGCUUCAAGGAAGGGUUGUACUCCAUCACAGCUAGCAUUGGCCUGGGUCCAUCACCAAGGCAAUGAUGUUUGCCCCAUACCUGGCACUACCAAGAUUGAGAACCUCAAUCAGAAUAUAGGAGCUUUGUCUGUAAAACUGUCAGCCGAGGAAAUGGCGGAACUUGAAUCUAUUGCUUCUGCGGGAGUCAAGGGUGAUAGGUAUGCGCCUGGCCUUGGUACUUGGCAAACUUCUGAAACUCCGCCUUUGUCAACCUGGAAGCGGACAUGAAGACAUACCUUUGUUAUGGCAAUAAUUCCUUCUAGCUAUGUGCCUGAUGGUGGAUUUCACUAUAUUGAGAGUUGAGUGAUAUGU
rnacentral:lncRNA from 1 species